CUUAAGCAAAUGCAUCCAACUAGAUCGUCCUUGUGCUGAAUAAUUGGAUAUCGUAUCCACUUAAAGCUGCCUUGUGUAGUACGUCUUUGUGUCUCUCUUUAUAUUCCAAUAAGGUCGGUGAUCUUGAUGCCACACACUCAGAUGUGUGUUCAUCUCCAGAUACUACUCCAUGCUACCUGCCCUUUGUGUUUUGUUCAAUAACUGGGUAUCAUAUCCCAGCCAGUAUGCCGUCUGUUUUGUGUUUGUUUCCUUCUAGUUCCAAAGGGGUCAUCAUGAUGUUACCUUCUUUCAAUAUGGUGCUUUGCAUGACUACUGUUGUAUGGUACCAUCUUGUGGCCAAUAAGUACAUCUUAUCCUAUGACCUUUGCUAUGACCCUUUGCAAAUAAGUAGAAGAUUGUUAUAAGCGUCAAUACUCCGUAUAAAUUGAUCGCUGCUGUGAGUUCCCUUUCAGCUUAUCGUAGGCAUACAUUAUUGCUAGCACGGUAAAGCCAACCAACACGAAUGAUGAAGUAAACGUAGCGGUACUUCUGUAUACCAACACCCUUACUUAAAUGUACCGGUGUCAUUCCCUACUGGCACAUAUAUUCUUAUAUGCUAGCCAGCUUGUAAAAUUAACCAAUUAAAAUAAUUAUUUCAAGAUAGAAAUAACUUAUCGGUUUCUGGAAGCAUGUGUAAUGUGAAUUCAAGGACUCGACGGAAGUUGAAUCACUUCAUCUAUAUUGCUUUCAGUAUUUUGGGUAACUAAAUUUAACAUUUGCACAUACAAAUGUUAAAGUACAAAUGUUAAAUCUAGUUACCCAAGCAGAAUAUGAAGAUAGUUUAUAGUAUAUAUAUACUAUAUAAAUCUAGUUAACAUUUAGUCUAAAUGUUAAAUCUAGUUACCUAAAAUCCUGAAAGCAAAAUGUAUAAAUAUAUAUCUUUUAAGGCAGUAUAAGCUUCGAUUCCUAUUGCUGCUCUGUUAAAUCUCAUCUUUCGUUGUGGCCCAACACUCUAGUAUGCAUGUUGCACCAAGCUUCUUUGAGCCGCUCUGCCCUCUGAUUUUGCUGCGUAGGGGAAUCUUUAUCAGGUUGGGCUACUUCCAGUUGUGCGAUGUAAAGAUUCGUAUUUUCUAGAAGGUAGACAAAAAACUCGCGUUCUCUUAAGGCAACAACCGGAAGAUUCUGCAGCGCACAGGGCAUACCAUUAUUGUAGAAACGACCUUUAGUACCGAUCUCCAACCCCCUUUAAAACUGGUUUUGCAACCGGUACCGUUAUGUCGGUCCUUUAGUACCAGAUCAAAUAAGUACCGGUUGGUAACCAGUAUCAACUUGUUUUGCGGCCAAAAAAAUAAAGAAAAAAACAGUCAGAAGGCUCGCGCACACGCGCAUCACAUGAAAUAUGCGUGUGCGGGGUCCAUGGGAUUCGAACCCAUGAAAUCAAGCUGCGCGCGACCCUUCGUUACCAUCUCACCUACAUAGCGCAUAUGCUUUCCUGAAGUAACCCGUGGAGGAGGCUUUAGUACCGGGUCAUAACACCACCCGGUACUAAAAAUGACUCUUCAGUACCGGGUCAUAACACCACCCGAUACUAGUAUCGGAUGGUGUAAUGACCCGAUACUAAAAGGCCUCUAGGGACCCUCAAAUUUGAACCCGGUACUAAUGCUAAUAUUAGUAGCGGGUCAAAGUGCAGCCAGAACUAAAGCAUGGGAUGAAAGGUCAUAUUUCUAGUAGUGUAUAGUUGUUGUGAAGGACUGACUUGGCUGUCCUCUCUCUUCUCCAUCCCCUUGGUCUUACGCCGCCGCUCGCACGCGAGCCGGUGCCCAACCAGAGGAGUGAGAGCUAGGGGCAGGUUGGGAGGUGGGGAUAGUGACUGGUGGCCAGGGUGAUGGUUGAUCCUGGUGGGGUUAGGGUUUUAGGGUUUUCGAGCUUCCUAUGGUCGGCGAACCUAGAGGAGGAGCUCAACAUCAGCUGCAACCCGCGAUGGUGGUGGUUUGGCCGGCGCCCGAGGCGAGGCAGCGCGGGAGUGCUGCCGGUGGGUUGGUGUUGGCACUCAUUAUUGACAACUAUUUUGUUCAUAAAAUAACACUCAAACUUGCUGCUGCUGCUGCUGCUGCCAUCGCCACCCUAGCCAUAAUAUAAAGGCAAAAUUUGCUAAAGGACAUGCAAAAUGAUGCUAGUUUGCUGGCGGGCAUCGUUGACCUUGUAAUAUGCUACAAGACACUCUAGUUGUGUAUCAAUUUGCUGAAAGACAUUGCUAUGACUAAAAUAAUGUUUCUGGACUGAGUUGGAGAGAGAGAUGGAGUGAAAUGUCUGUUUUGCCCAUGACCCCACUGGUCAGAUCCUUCUUCUUCCACCCUCCUUUGUUCUUUCUUCAACCAUUACCCAGCUCCAGCGUGUUGCAGAUCUACGAGGGUGGCGGCCUGGGGCGAGGGGCAUCGCUCGCCCUUGGAGGAGCGCUGCGAGCGACGGCGCGGGGGCGGCAACAGCGCGUCAGAACCUGACUGUUCGUUAGCUCCUCUCGCUGCUGGGGAAGGAGGGGGAUGGGCCAUGGACGGGGUUCCCUUGAAAACCUCAGCGUCGAGCUCGGGCGGCUACGCGCAGGCAGCACUAGGCUGCUUCACGGGGAGGGGGCGCGGCCAAUCAUUGGCACCCCACUGGUCCAAUGCUGAUGAAGAUGGUGCCAGCGUCGUGUGAGGACAUCUCAUCUCCUCGAGUUCCAUGGCCAGCACAGGUGAGCUGCCGCUACCACAAAACAGAGGUUUCGUGAGAGUCAAAAAACCUUAUGAAAAUAGCUAAAACCAUCAUGAAAAUAAUCCGUGACAUGACACUCUCACGAAAAUCCUCUCACAAAUAUGGUGCCAUGAAAAUACCAUUUUCAUGAGAGUGAACUGUCAUGAUUUUAUUUCGUGAGAGUAUUUCCUAUCAAUGACCUCCACGAAAUACUUUGUGCCACCAGGUCUUCAAGAUCAUUUUCAUGAGAGCUGAACAUCAGGAAAAGUCCGCCACAAAUGUUUUUCUUGGAGCCCCUAACUCUCAUGAAAAUCAUGCGGGCCGCCACGAAAAACAGCAUGACCAAAUGACAAAUUUCAUUUUCAUGUGUUCAUACCGCCAUGAAAAUGGUCAUUUUCAUGAGAGUUGAUGAAACAAAAAAUAGUGCCAUUUUCAUGAGAGUUCAAGCAACCAGGAAAAGACACUAAUAAACAUCCAGAUCCCAUCCAGCACACAUCCAUGCACAUAUAUAACCCACAUAUUGCUCCAGCACACAUCCAUGCAUAUACAAGAUCCAAAUGUUAAUAUAGUAGACAUCCAUGCCUGAACUAGUCUGCCACACAAGUCAUUGAUGCUACAAAUCCUACAAUCGCAGCAUGUGCAUACAAGUCACAGAAUGAGACAAUGUACCCAAAACUAAAAGGUUAGCAUCAACUGUGCUUCAACCAAAGUUGUCAUCCCAACUCUCCUCUUCAUCCAUGCCAUUCUUGUCGUGGCCGUCACUGUCAGUCCCCAUGGCAUUGCCAAUGCUGUGCAUGUCUUGGUAGGAACCUACAUGUGAUGAACUAGUAACCUGCAAAAAGAGCUCAAAGGAUCUUGUUCUCAUAUUGUAGCUGUGAAAUUCUUACAAGUAGUGUUGCAAUCAGUUCACUUUGAACCAAAAGAGCUCAAAGGAUCUUGUCCUAAAAGUUCCUCAUAAAGCUUAUGGGUUUGCUGGUGGAACUGGAAGGGCUUGAUGCAGCAGAUGCCAUUCUGCAAUAGAGAAAAAUUUAGAGAGCAGUACUAGUUAAAAUUGGAUGCAGAAGAUACACAUGAAACUAGUAUUUAUACAAGUCUAUACAAUUAAAAUCUAAGGAGACUUAUCAUCGUUUUCAUGUGUUGUGAAUUAAAAUAAUGAAGGAUACACUGUUAGGUGAAAAUUCAAGAAACAAAAUUUUGCAUAGAGAUAAAGGUCCAACAUUAUUACAAGUUAAGGUAGUUUUAAAUAUCCUUGUAAUCUUCCUUUGGUUUCCUCAACGAUUCGAAGACAAUAACCUUGCUUCUAUCAAUGAUAAUUAUAAGGAGAAUCCAGUGGAAACUGUGUAUUCGUAUUAGAACUACCUAAGGUUAAUUAGGUUAGGAAAGGAAAUUGAAAAUAGAUGGUACCCACACUUACUUAAAGUUGUCGGGCAAUAGUAUGUAAUGCUUGUAAUUCCGUUGCUCCAAGAAUUUGUAUAUGUGGUCCAAUGUAGACUUUGGUUGAUCCCGUAUCUGCUGUUGGUUAAAUAAGUGUUUCUAGCCAUUUCUAGCCAUUAGAACCGGGACUAAAGGGGGCUCUUUAGUACGGGUUGAUAUUACUAACCGGGAUUAAAGAGCCCCCAUUAGAGUUGGUUUUUGGAUGCGGAACUAACAACUCCUUUAGUCCUGAGUACGAAAACAACUGACAUAUUUGUUGCUGGAUGGAAGGUCCUUUCUCUACCGUGAAUAUUGCCAGAAAGAAUUGAAAGAGACUGCUUGCUAAAAAUAUGUCAUAGAUGUAGACCAAGCUACCAAGGAGGUAGACCAAACAUGAUACACACCAUGCGUACCUUGCUGUGCAGACUAUGCAUUGACAAGAUACCCGACCACAUGUUGGCCUCGGUCACAUCAAAAGAAUCAUGUAGGCCACCAAUAAACUACUUGAAGCGGCAUUCCGUAUCGUAUAUGCAUUGCCGGUUCAUCUGCAUUACAUUACAUAAAGCACUAUUAACUAUUUGAAUAAAAUGAACCAAUUUAAAAGUAAUGUGUUGUACUCUACUAUAGAAAGCCCUAUCACUGCCGGAUCCAAAAACAUCAUUGUUAAUGGUGGUUAAGUACCAAAUAUGACGGUCAAUAUUCUCAAGAAUAAUGGAGAAUUAGCAUUUCUUAGACACAUAUUUGGUUUUGAACAAUGUAGUUCCACAUGUCUUUGGAGAUUAUUUGGGUGUGGGUGAAAUAAUACAAAAAUAAGGAGAAAACACACUCCCAUGGCGAAGAAACACAACUCCAACCAAUGAGAGAUAGCCACAGGGGCAGCACACGGAUCCAUGGGCCCACUAACCGCAUCAAACCAUCUUACCAAGGCAGGUAGCACCCACAACCGUCAUUAGGACCCACCUGGAAGUCUACCAAGAAGAAGGUUGCGAGUGGGGCCAGGAGGGGUUCGGUUGAAUCAUCUCUAGCUAGCUCCCCUCAUCCCCAGCUGGUGGGUGGUGGUGGUUGAUGGUGUCCCUACAUCAGUUAGAGGAGAUUCCCCCAAAUAUUCCUCCUGUAAACCACCUCUAUGGACCUAUACAUAGAGGGGUGUGCUCUCCAUUCCAACACACACCACAAGUUGAAUCACUCUCUCCCUCUUUAGUUUCCAAGUUUAUGGAGUUAGGCUAGAGUAGCUCUGCUCAAGGUUCCAAGUCCACUUGGAGUUAAGCAUAUGUCUCUUGUAUCGUUAUUUCCUAAAUUGACUUUAUGCUUAGUUCUUAUAUGCAUGAGUUAGUCUAAUACCCUUGCUAUAUUGAUAUGCUCGGCUUAUAUGCUCGUAUGCUAGUCAUAUACCCUUGCUGUCGUAGUAUAGGCUUAUAUGCUCUCAUGUGUGCCUGUAGACCUUGCUAUAGUAUAUACUUGUUGUGCAUACAUACCAUGUAUAGGCUAGUCGAUCUAUACCAUGGCAUUGGUUCAAUAGCCAUGUUUUUGGUGGCUCCAACCCUAGUCACAAUAGCUCGGGACAGCUGGAGUGUUGUUAAAAAUGCAAGAGUGGUGCUUGGGUUGUUUAGCAUCGUUGGAUAUGGGUUUGCCCCACGGGUUUCUAACGGUAGGCGGCAGCUAGUGACAUCCCUGUCCGUCCUUCGUAAUCCCCCCACAUUCAGGUACGCCAUAAAUGUUCGUAAAUUAGCAGUAACUACGCCGGUACACCUGUAGGGUAUUGUCUCCCUGUAGUACCUUGGUGCAUAGAACUAAGUCCUAUACACUGUGUGUGUAUGUUUACGCUGAUAUGAUCUGUGCAGUAUAUAGGAUGUAUAUAUGAACCUAGAGCUAACUCCUAGUCCGUUCUCCAUAGCUUAGUUAUCUUGAGAUGAUUCUUCUGUAUGUGUAACACUACCCAUCUUAUCAUUAUCCUUGAUCCUGUCUUGUGUAAUAUAUCUACUCAUCCUAUGAUAUACUCAUAUGCAUAGUAAACUAUUUUGACCUACCCGCCUUCCUUUGGGAAAUAUGAUACCUUGGAAUAAUCCUAGGUGAAAUCCUACAACGGUAUAUCCAUGUAAAUGCGGAUUUAUUCAUGACCAUUAAAUAUACCAACAAUCAUCACUGUGAGUUUUGGGCGUCGUUAGUGAAGGGUUGGUAGUGAUGGGCAUCCCCUUCACCAAUGGACCUGGAACCGGCGGUGAUGGCUAUUAUAAAAAAGGGGACACCACCCAGCGUACCCCACGACCCGGCCGGCCGCACCUCCCAUCAUCCCCGCCAGCCGCCCUUCCUUUUCGCCGGCCGAGCAUGGUCCCGGCCUUUGUCCCUACCACCUCGCCUCCACCGCGACCCCCCGCCGAUGCCCUCGUGCCUGGCCCCCCUCAUCUUGCCGGCCACCCUCCCGAUGCGUCCACUGGGGCCCUCGCACCACCAACCGCCCUUGCUUAGAGAGGGAGAGAGAGGAGGGAGGUGAGGCCACGCACCUCGUCCUACACCGCCGCUGUUUCUCCUCGGCCCACCGCGCCUCACCCCACACCACAGCCGCGCCUUGCCAUCUUACCGGCUGUGACGCCUCAUCUCACCGGCCACCGUUCCUCACCCCCACUUCGGUCGUCGCCGCUCCUUGCCCUACCGCUGCUCUUUGCCGCUGCGAAUGAGCGCCGAGUGGAGGAGGAGGGAUGGGGCAGGAGGAGGGCAAGAUCCGGGAGGAAGGGAGAGAUCUCGGGAGGUGGAGAUGGAAGGAUAUGGCGGAAGGGAGAGAUCCAGAGGGAGAGAGCAGGGGAGAGAGGGGGGCGUGUGGGGAGAGAGCGCGUGUGGGGUGGGGCCGGGCUGGUGGGAUGGAAGGGAGAGGGGCUAGACGGGCGCAGUGCAUUCAACUGGAUGAAGUAAAUAUUUUGGAUUCGAGACCCCAGCUUUAUUAUCACCGCUGGUCCGUAGUACCAUCCGGUGCCUGCUCGUAAUUUAAUUUGAAUCUGCGGUGAUGUUUUAUUAUCACCAUCGGAUCAUAUAAAAAUCCGGCGGUUAAAAAUCCGCUGGUUUCGAUGAAAACCGACGGUGAUAGGAUGACUGUGAUAGUCUCUUCUCUAGUAGUGGUAUAUUAGUACCGGCUGCCGGAUGGUGUUGCCGACCAGUACUUCUCCGGGGGCGAUUCAGUACUGCUGUUAGCAAAGCUUGUUCUCUAUGAAUUUGGGGAUGGAAAGCUAGUUCUCUAGUUGUGAUUUGUUACAUAUAUAUCUAUGAUAGUCUAGAAAUUGCAUGUCCUUCGUUGACAUAGUUGAAGCUGCUUCAAGAAUUUACUUCGUGCAGUCGUGCAGCAUAUUGGAUUAUCACCUAGACAGGAUACAUAGGUGAAGCAUUGGAUGUGAUUGUGGCCGAUAAUUAUGCAGGACGCUGUUGCAAUCAACCACCAAGAAGUCUGGAGUGAUGGGGUUGCCUCAUCAAUAAUUUUUAUAUAUGGCUGCAGUAUUAUUAAGCCCACGUCAAUAAUUUUUUGUCCGCACCAUAUAUCGAUGGGGUUGCCUCAUCAAUAAUUCGCGCAACCAGACAAGCUGCAGACUCAAUAUGGUACGAAGCUAGUUGCUCAGCCCACAUGCUCUGAUAUAACAUUGACAUCUGCUGAUCUACAGUAUAUAUGACCAGAAAUAUUGUGCCCACCUCAAUAACUUUCUGAAGUAUCGUGGGGAAGAACCUACGCGUACUAUGCCUCGGAACUAACUGACAUAUCGGCCCAGGCGGUCUAGGCCGAUUGGACUGGCUCUUCCUUGUGGCUUCUCACAUCCCCUUCGUCCCCAAGUAAUUUCAGGUGUUCUGUAGUUUUCUUUUCACUUGCAUCUGAGCCUCCUAUAUCAAUAGCUUCGGGAUAAGAAUGCCUCUUGAUAACCUUCCAAAUCCUCGCUUGAUUCACAUUGAUUCCGAAAUCAUCUUGCCAUAUCUUCAGAGACUUAGGUCCUAAGGCAUCAUGGAGGAUUGCUCGCCAAGAAUGAGCACCAUUGGGCUCCUGAGGACCCUAGGCCGAUCAGCCCGGGCUCUAUAGGUCGAUUGGCCCAGGCCCUCUCUGGGCCUGUUGGCCUUCAUCUUUCUUUGAGUCGACGCUUAUUCAGGGCUUUGUCCAAUUAUAGUCCAUUAUAGUCUAAUUUCCUAAAAAACAGAAUGUCCUCCAAAAUACAAUGCAUAUGUGAAAACAACCCAAUUAUUAGGUAUGAUCAAUAGUUUAGGUAUUAAAUUAAUAUUAUUAUUUAAGAUAAACAGGGGUAAAGGGUGUCAUUAAUAACAAGCGCCAACAAGCGUCCUAGCUGUUCAAUAAAUUUUUUCUAGUACCGAUUGGUAACACUAACCGGUGCUAAUAUGUACCCUUUAUUACCGGUUAUUUUACCAGGUACUAAAGGAGACAAGAGCAUCCUAACAUAAGGUUAAUAUCAUCCAUUUCAUGAGUAAAAUACUAUGAUUCAAAAAUAAUUCAAAUCCCUUAAGACAAUACCUAUCAAAUGAGUAAAUUGUAAAUAGAGUAAUCUUGAUCAAACAAUGUCCUAAUGAAACGGAACACUUCUGGUUCGUGUAGAGCACAAUAUAGAAAACAGUAGGGUAGCUGUAUGAUUGACACGUGGUCCAUUAAUUAUUGAGCCAACACUAUGGACAUGUCUUCAUGAGUAGUGUACUAGUCAUAAUACAUGGUAUGCAGUAGGUGGAGGUAUUGACUUAGCCAUGCUAUGAGCACUUAGUUACAACAAACACUUUGCCAUUAUCGAGCAUCCCAAAUCACUACAAAAUCCAUAGUUUACCAUAUACUACAAAAUCUGAGUUAAAAUAAGAGCAUACACGGAAGAGUCCGAAUGCACGGCACAUUGAAUUACUAGACAAAAUUUAUGGGACAAGGUUUUGGGUAACCGCAUGAAAAAUAUUGGAUUUUACUGAACACUUAGUUACAAUUACCAUGCCCGUGAGCACUUAGUCACCACAAACAUUUAACCACUUUAGAUCAUCCUGAAUCCCUAUAAAUUCUAUACCUUACACCGUACCAUGAAAACGACAAGAACAGAGACAGAUGCGGUGAAAAUCUCCAGAGCAAGCCUGAAAUUAAAAUAAGAGGAGGCAGUCACUAUCGACAGGACACGGAGAUUGCUAGCCAUGACAGAGGAAGACAUGAUAUGAUAUUCACCUCUGAAAUGCAGCGUAGACUAAAUGAAGCACAAUUGCAAGUGAGUGUGGCAGAUAAUGGACCAUCGAGACCAUCGAAUGGUAUGAAGCAUGAUUAUCACCUAGACAUGAUAUCCUAGACAGGACGGUGAAUUGUAAAAAGAGUAAUCUUGAUCAAAGAAUGUCCUAAUGAAACGGAACAUUUUUGGUACGUGUAGAGCAAAAUAUAGAAAACAGUAGAGUAGUUGUACGAUUGAAACUGCAUCCAUCGACGUGGUGCAUGAAUUGUUGAGCCAACACUGUGGACAUGUCUUCAUGAACACCAUCUAGUGAGGACAGCAUGCAGAAAAAUAUAAAAACAUGUCAUAGGGAGGCAGACCAAUCUUGCGAGGUAGACGAAACGUGAUACACGAUCUGCCUACCUUGUCGUGUGGAUACCCCAAGUGAAGAUGUCAUAGAGGUGCAGACCAAGCUAGCAAGGAGGUAGAUGAAACGUGAUACACGGCCUGCCUACCUUGCCGUGGAUAUUAGUCCUGAUAUCAUUCUAUUGUUCAAGGAAUAACACUCAAUGCUGCUGCUGCUGCUGACCUGGCUCCAUAAAGUUAUAUUCCUCUAGCCGCUUGCACUAACUUUAUCUGAAGUAUUAUUCUCUCUGCACUGUAUAUAUGGUUACGGAGUUUGCUGGAGUAUCCGGGGGGAAGAACCUACAUAAUAUGUCUUGGAACUAACUGACAUUGAUUCACAGACAAGGUGCUGUUGUUGACAUGGUACAGUAAAUAAUAUAGUUUACCAUAUACCGUAUACCAUUAUAUGUUAGCUAAAAUAAGAGCAUAACAUGUCGCAGGAGUCCAAAAGCACCGGUUGAGGACCAGGUACAUUAAAUUACUAGAAAACAAAAGGGGACAAGGUUUAGGUAGCCACAUGAAAAACAUUUGAAUUUACUGUACCAUGAACACUUAGUUACCAUGCCGGGAGCACCUAGUUAACACUAACAUUUAGCCACUUUAGAUCAUCCCGAAACACCAAUGACCCUCAAUAGCGACAAAUUUUGGUUUAAAUGCCGUCACCAAUGAUCCUCAAUAGUGACGUGUUUAGGUUUAAAUCCCAUCACUAAUAACCCUUGGUAGUGACGUGUUUUGGUUUAAAUCUCAUCACCACUGAUCCUCACUAGUGACGUGUUUUUAGCAACACACGUUAUGAAUGACUUGUCAUUGGUGACAUGUUAAACGCGUUAUCUCAAUGGCAAAUCAAUGGUGACGUGUUUAAAAAAACAUGUCACUGUGAGAGUUAUUGGUGAAGGGUAAUUAAAAUGCAUCACUAAUUUUGUAGCAUUAGUUAUGAUAUAAUUUUGUAACGCAAAAAUCUACCAUAGUAAUGAGGUUUAGAGCCAUCACUAAUGUGGGUUUCUUAUCGUAGUGAUGCAAGCUCUACAAGGUGCUGUUGUUGCCAUUUUAAAGCAUCCCAAAUGACUACAAGAGUCCGGUUGAGGACUAAACAAAUUGAAUUACUAGAACCAAAUGUAUGUCCAGAACAAAGAAAGGGGUCAAGGUUUGGGUAACCGCAUUAAAAACAUUGAAUUUUACUGUACCAUGAACACUUAGUUACCAUUACCAUGCCUUGAGCACCUAGUUACCACAAACAUUAAUUUAGCCACUUUAGAGGUUCCACAAUCACUAUAAAUAAUAUACCAACACCGUACCAUGAAAACAUCAAGAAGAGAGACGGGUACAUGGACCACCAUCAAGUGAGUAGUGACAGCACGCACAAGAAUACCCGGAACCUUUUAGCUUGUCUGUAGUGAUCUGUUUUCUUCGCCACAAAUAAUGAAAGAGGCUGACCAAGCUAGCAACGAGGUAGAGCAAACGUGAUACACGUAGGUUUCAUUCAAGACAUCCAUGUAAGAUUCAUUCAAAACAUUCAUGGAAAUUUCUUGUAAGUUUUCAUGUAAAUUUCAUUCAAGACAUUUGUUAGAGGUGUUGUAUAUACACUUAACGUACAUAUAUCUAUGAUUUCAUGGUUGUUAGUGAUGGCAGAUGAGGAGCAUGCAAGGUGUUUAAUGGAGCAGAUUAUUGCUAGUGGUAGUGGCUCCAACCUGCCCGUAACGUACACCGACGAAGAGGGCAGCCAGGCGGACAUGUUCCUCAACAUGUCCGGUGAUGGCAAUGAAGAGCCCGAGCAAAACCUUGCCGUGACGGAAGGUUCCAUCGAGGUAUAUAUCAUUUCCAUUAUUUUACCCCAUCUAUAAUUUCAUAUUCAUUAUUACUAUGUGCUAAUUAAUGAAUCUUGAACCGUUAGUCCUCUAGAUCAACGAACCGAAAUAAGCCCCGAGGUCUUACAAAGAUAAUGCAGGGAAGGCUUCACAUCAUGGAAGUCACAGAAGAGGGCACAUCGGUUGCUCCCGAACAUGUGGCAAGAAAGUACGUGAGUCAAACCGGGGCAAUCGUAAGGGACAACAUGCCCAUCAGCAUCAGGGAAUGAAAGAGCAAUAGAAAUGAUCUAUACGCACCCCCGGAUACACAAAAGGAUAUGUUGUGGGCAAAUAUCAAGAAACACUUCACAUUUCCCAAAGGAUAUGUUGAAAAAUAUGUGAAAGCGUGGAUGUUGAAGAAGAUGGCCACCCAAUUCCAGACAUUCAAGAAGAUGUUGGAUGCCAACUUCAUCAAGAAGGGUCGAACUCCGGGUUUCAAUGAGUGGCCAAAGUUAAGGGACCACUGGGAGUCGUUUGUCGAAUACAAGACGAGCGAAGGUGGUGCGAGUAAGGUUCACAUCAAUGUUGCCAAUGCUAGCAAGGAGUACCAUCAUCAUCUAGGGCGACGUGGUUACAGCUCUGCAAUUCCCAGAUGGCGCAAGAUGGAACAAGACCUGAUCGAUCGGGGUAUCGUACCAGCAACUCUUGACUGGAUCGAUUGAAAAAUUGGUAUUAUGCUCAUGAAGGCAAUCUGAGCCAAGAGGAUCCGACAUUGGUCUUCAAUAAAACAAUACGUCAGAAGGUCGGAAGGCUUAUUAGGAACAUUGAAGAUGCUAAAGCUGGGAGGUUCAAGGUGGAUAGAGAGAAUGAUGAACUCACAUUGGCCCUCGGGACUGUCAUCUCUAGCACUUCCAGCUCCAGGACUAUCGUCACCACCGGGACCGUCGCUUCCUGCUCGAUCACAGUCUCCAUCUCCAGCACAUCCUGGUGGUGCGAGCGACGACGACAACAACACCCCUCCCUGCCCACCAUUGCCGGGACUAAGACCCGCAUUGAGUAAGGAACCUGCAACACCACUGAAGAAGUCGCGACCACCACCUUCAAGGCAAGUCAGCAAAAGAAGAAAGCAGAGAAGCCUAAACCCACUGAGAAGCCAGCGACUGAUAUGACCGAUGCGGAAAGAUGGAAGGCACUCAAAGAAGAAUGCAGGGAGUGGUUCAGCGAAGGCGAAGGUGAGAAAGUCGUAUGAAUCGAAUUCAAGGAUAUAUAUGAAGUGAACCAUCAGGAUGCCCUUGAUGUCUCUCUCAUCAGCGCCUAGGUUCUGUAAGUGUAUGUUUAUCUAUAAGUAAAUUUUGGCUCAUAUCAUUAUUUUUUUUGCGUGCGUCACCCUACUAACUUCGUCUUCCAUUUUAUGUAGGAUGCUAAUUCAGACGUGCCGCAUAGAAGCGUACUUCCAUGUUGGAUUCAUGGAUCCAUCCCUAGUUAACCAAAAGCCGAUACGGAAGUAGCUAGAGAAAACGUUGGAGGUGGUGUACAACCUCCUGGACAAACUAAACUACAGAAUAGGGGCAAUAUGUGAGGGUCUUGUAGGAUUCCUAGUGGACGAGGUGAUAAAUCCAUAAGGAGAAUAUCAUUCCAACGGACGAGCAUUAGACACACUGAGCAACACCUAGAUGGGAGGAUCCUAGGAAUGACCUCGACAGAUUUUGGUAUAAAUAGUAAUUGUGUAAAUACUAGUUUGAUUUGUAUAGGAAUAUACUAAGAAUUGUAUAUAUAGUAAUUGUACAAAUACUAGUUUGAUUUGUAUGAAUACUAGAUUGAUUUUAUUAUAAAAAAGUUUUAAGUCGUACGUGCAUGCGCCUACAAAGGCGCGGAUGCCUUUUAAUCCCAGUCGGAAAAACAAACUGGUACUAAAGGGGCUCGUGCCGCACCUGGCAUGACCACCCCUUUAGUCCCGGUUGAACGACCCAGGACUAAAGAUCUCCGCGUCUCAAAAAUUUUAUCUCGGAUGCUUUUUAGAGAGAUUUGAGGCCUAUCAACCAAGACUAAUAUCGAGUUUUCUACCAGUGAAACUAACUAACGUUCACAUGGUUUUGACAUUCACCUGCCAUUUGGUGUAGACAAGGGCACCCUAACAUAUGGUUAAUAUUAUUCUUGAAAGAAAAUCCUUUGAUUCAAAAUACUUCAAACCUAAUAAUACAAUACUUCUCACAUCUGAAAAAUAUGAGACGGCCCGACAGUAUUCUAAUCGACGCAAUAAUAUUUUGAGGGCAGCACUACUACAGCGACCCUCAUUCGUGCCGGUGCUGGGACUCCUAUCACGACCCUGAUACAAAUGAGGGUACAUUAUUGGUGCCAGUGCUAGAACAGCCACGAAUAACUUGCUAAACGUGCUGUUACACUCACUACAGGGACCAAGAAGGUAGAUAAAUUACACGACAUAGCCUUGGUUGCCGUGGAAGCGCCAAGAAGGGAGACAAAUUACAGGGACCACACCAUCAAGUAGAUAGUGACAAUAUGCAAAAGAAUACCCGCGCCUGUUAGCAUGUGAACUGACCACACCACGAAACGUGAUACACGGCAAGCGUACCAAGGCCUUGCUGUGCAGACUAUGCAUGGACAACACAUGGUACCUGACCGCUUUUGGCCUCAGACACAUCGAAAAACUGCAUCGUUCCACGUUGUACAUCCAUUGCUAGUUUAUCUAUAUUACAUAAUAUAUUAUUAGCUAUUUGAAUAGAAUGAACCAAUUAAAAAAUUGCGUUGUAUUUUUAGUACCGGCUGCAGGAUGGUGUUACCAACCAGUACUAAUUGGCCUGUAGGAGUGAUGGUUAUUAGACUUGGUACUGUUGUUAGCAUCAUUAACCUAAUUGUGCGCCGUAUGAAUUUGGGGAUGCAAAGCUAGCUCUCUAUGAAUGUGAGGGAUGGAAAGCUAGUUCUCUAGUAGUAAUUAUAUAUAUGACAGUCAAGAAAUCGAACACUAUGCUGCUACGAGUCACCAUCAUUUCCUUCAUUGACAAUCUGACAUAGGUGAAGCUGCUUCAAUAAUUUCCUUCGCGCAGUCGUGGAGCUUAUUGGAUUAUCACCAGGACGGGACACGGAAAUGGCCAGCAAUGAAGCUGAUUGCCGUCUGAGGAAGACUACAUACUUACCUAUGAAAUGAAGCGAUUGCAUAGACUAAUGAAGCAUUGCAUAUUUGCAUGUGAGUGUGGCAGAUAAUUCUGCAGGACAUGAUUGCAAUCCACGCACCAUCGAGAAGACUGGGGCGAUGGGGUUGCCUCAUCAAUAAUCACGUGGAUGCAUGCAUGCAUGUUCCCGCAACCGGACAAGGGUCUGAUAUAUGGCUAUAGUAUUACUGAGCCCACAUCAAUAAUUUCCACUGGUGUAUCGUGUGGGAAGAAUCAACAUACUACACCUCGAGUUCUUGGAACUAACUGACGUUCACAUGCAACCUCCACAAGGUGCUGUAUGCUUUUGACAUUCACCUGCCAGUUCGUGUAGAGAAGGACACCCUAACGUAUAGUUAAUAUUAUCCAUUUCAUGAGUAAAAUACUGUGAUUCAAAAAUACUUCAAAUCCCUUGAGACAAUACUUCUCACUUGACUAACCACUAACCAACCCCGAAACCCUAACUCAACUCCGAACCCUAACCCCUAACGGCAUAACCACUCCGUUUUGCCGGCGAGAUGGAGGAACUGGCUGGAAGGUAGAGAGGGCAGCGGUCCAGGGUUGAAAACGACGGGCGAGCGCAGUAACAUGUGGAGGAGGAAGUGCCACGUAUUCGUUCACCGCUAUUGGGCAGCGACACACGACACGCCCAAUAAGAUCUUCGCACGGUAGAAGGACGUCAUGUAUUCAAUAAUGUUAUUGGUCCCCCAUGUGCAGAAGGGCGCGCGCGUAUGGAAUAACAAGUAGGGACACUGCAACUAAUCUACUCUGCUCGUCCAGUCCCUAGCCUAUAAAUAGAUGCCAUGCUAGCUCUUGUUGUGCUCACAAUUAAUCCGAUUACACACGAGCUUCUCUCCCUGGCCAAGACACAACCAUAGUAUGAUGAAGAACAUGGCACUAGCCGGCAAUGGUAUGAAGAAGUUAAUCCUCGCUGUUCUCUUACUGUGUCUAGUUAUAGGGCAGAUACAAGUGGAAGCUAAGAGCUGCUGCCCAUCCACCACUGCAAGAAAUGUCUACAAUACCUGCCGUUUCACGGGUACAUCCCGUCCAACGUGUGCAAAACUGUCAGGCUGCAAAAUUAUCAGCGGGAACAAAUGCAAGCCCCCUAACGACCACCUCACCCUUGACCCGGACACUGGUAAAUAAUAAAUUUAUCUCACUUGAUUUCUUCGUGAUUUGAGUCGUUAAUGUAUUUUCCAUCUGAUGAAACGUAUUGGUUUUGCAUUGAAGAGGAAGUUAAUGUGCUUAACUUCUGCAAGUUGGGGUGUGCGUCGUCUGUGUGCAACAACAUCAACGCUGGUAAGCAACUUUUGCUCAGACAGAGAAAACAAUAAUCAUUAAUUAGCGGCAGCUAGAAUCCUAUAAUCUAAUAUAUAUAUAUAUAUAUAAUUUUAUCAGCUCUGGGAAAUGAAGAGGCGAACGAUGCCGUUGAGAGUUGCGACCAAGCCUGCUCUAGCUUCUGCAGCGUGCAUGUUGGCAGCGCCACCGUGGUUGCUUAAGCAAAUGCAUCCAACUAGAUCGUCCUUGUGCUGAAUAAUUGGAUAUCGUAUCCACUUAAAGCUGCCUUGUGUAGUACGUCUUUGUGUCUCUCUUUAUAUUCCAAUAAGGUCGGUGAUCUUGAUGCCACACACUCAGAUGUGUGUUCAUCUCCAGAUACUACUCCAUGCUACCUGCCCUUUGUGUUUUGUUCAAUAACUGGGUAUCAUAUCCCAGCCAGUAUGCCGUCUGUUUUGUGUUUGUUUCCUUCUAGUUCCAAAGGGGUCAUCAUGAUGUUACCUUCUUUCAAUAUGGUGCUUUGCAUGACUACUGUUGUAUGGUACCAUCUUGUGGCCAAUAAGUACAUCUUAUCCUAUGACCUUUGCUAUGACCCUUUGCAAAUAAGUAGAAGAUUGUUAUAAGCGUCAAUACUCCGUAUAAAUUGAUCGCUGCUGUGAGUUCCCUUUCAGCUUAUCGUAGGCAUACAUUAUUGCUAGCACGGUAAAGCCAACCAACACGAAUGAUGAAGUAAACGUAGCGGUACUUCUGUAUACCAACACCCUUACUUAAAUGUACCGGUGUCAUUCCCUACUGGCACAUAUAUUCUUAUAUGCUAGCCAGCUUGUAAAAUUAACCAAUUAAAAUAAUUAUUUCAAGAUAGAAAUAACUUAUCGGUUUCUGGAAGCAUGUGUAAUGUGAAUUCAAGGACUCGACGGAAGUUGAAUCACUUCAUCUAUAUUGCUUUCAGUAUUUUGGGUAACUAAAUUUAACAUUUGCACAUACAAAUGUUAAAGUACAAAUGUUAAAUCUAGUUACCCAAGCAGAAUAUGAAGAUAGUUUAUAGUAUAUAUAUACUAUAUAAAUCUAGUUAACAUUUAGUCUAAAUGUUAAAUCUAGUUACCUAAAAUCCUGAAAGCAAAAUGUAUAAAUAUAUAUCUUUUAAGGCAGUAUAAGCUUCGAUUCCUAUUGCUGCUCUGUUAAAUCUCAUCUUUCGUUGUGGCCCAACACUCUAGUAUGCAUGUUGCACCAAGCUUCUUUGAGCCGCUCUGCCCUCUGAUUUUGCUGCGUAGGGGAAUCUUUAUCAGGUUGGGCUACUUCCAGUUGUGCGAUGUAAAGAUUCGUAUUUUCUAGAAGGUAGACAAAAAACUCGCGUUCUCUUAAGGCAACAACCGGAAGAUUCUGCAGCGCACAGGGCAUACCAUUAUUGUAGAAACGACCUUUAGUACCGAUCUCCAACCCCCUUUAAAACUGGUUUUGCAACCGGUACCGUUAUGUCGGUCCUUUAGUACCAGAUCAAAUAAGUACCGGUUGGUAACCAGUAUCAACUUGUUUUGCGGCCAAAAAAAUAAAGAAAAAAACAGUCAGAAGGCUCGCACACACGCGCAUCACAUGAAAUAUGCGUGUGCGGGGUCCAUGGGAUUCGAACCCAUGAAAUCAAGCUGCACGCGACCCUUCGUUACCAUCUCACCUACAUAGCGCAUAUGCUUUCCUGAAGUAACCCGUGGAGGAGGCUUUAGUACCGGGUCAUAACACCACCCGGUACUAAAAAUGACUCUUCAGUACCGGGUCAUAACACCACCUGAUACUAGUAUCGGAUGGUGUAAUGACCCGAUACUAAAAGGCCUCUAGGGACCCUCAAAUUUGAACCCGGUACUAAUGCUAAUAUUAGUAGCGGGUCAAAGUGCAGCCAGAACUAAAGCAUGGGAUGAAAGGUCAUAUUUCUAGUAGUGUAUAGUUGUUGUGAAGGACUGACUUGGCUGUCCUCUCUCUUCUCCAUCCCCUUGGUCUUACGCCGCCGCUCGCACGCGAGCCGGUGCCCAACCAGAGGAGUGAGAGCUAGGGGCAGGUUGGGAGGUGGGGAUAGUGACUGGUGGCCAGGGUGAUGGUUGAUCCUGGUGGGGUUAGGGUUUCAGGGUUUUCGAGCUUCCUAUGGUCGGCGAACCUAGAGGAGAAGCUCAACAUCAGCUGCAACCCGCGAUGGUGGUGGUUUGGCCGGCGCCCGAGGCGAGGCAGCGCGGGAGUGCUGCCGGUGGGUUGGUGUUGGCACUCAUUAUUGACAACUAUUUUGUUCAUAAAAUAACACUCAAACUUGCUGCUGCUGCUGCUGCCAUCGCCACCCUAGCCAUAAUAUAAAGGCAAAAUUUGCUAAAGGACAUGCAAAAUGAUGCUAGUUUGCUGGCGGGCAUCGUUGACCUUGUAAUAUGCUACAAGACACUCUAGUUGUGUAUCAAUUUGCUGAAAGACAUUGCUAUGACUAAAAUAAUGUUUCUGGACUGAGUUGGAGAGAGAGAUGGAGUGAAAUGUCUGUUUUGCCCAUGACCCCACUGGUCAGAUCCUUCUUCUUCCACCCUCCUUUGUUCUUUCUUCAACCAUUACCCAGCUCCAGCGUGUUGCAGAUCUACGAGGGUGGCGGCCUGGGGCGAGGGGCAUCGCUCGCCCUUGGAGGAGCGCUGCGAGCGACGGCGCGGGGGCGGCAACAGCGCGUCAGAACCUGACUGUUCGUUAGCUCCUCUCGCUGCUGGGGAAGAAGGAGGGGGAUGGGCCAUGGACGGGGUUCCCUUGAAAACCUCAGCGUCGAGCUCGGGCGGCUACGCGCAGGCAGCACUAGGCUGCUUCACGGGGAGGGGGCGCGGCCAAUCAUUGGCACCCCACUGGUCCAAUGCUGAUGAAGAUGGUGCCAGCGUCGUGUGAGGACAUCUCAUCUCCUCGAGUUCCAUGGCCAGCACAGGUGAGCUGCCGCUACCACAAAACAGAGGUUUCGUGAGAGUCAAAAAACCUUAUGAAAAUAGCUAAAACCAUCAUGAAAAUAAUCCGUGACAUGACACUCUCACGAAAAUCCUCUCACAAAUAUGGUGCCAUGAAAAUACCAUUUUCAUGAGAGUGAACUGUCAUGAUUUUAUAAGCGUCAAUACUCGGUAUAAAUUGACUACUGCUGUGAGUUCCCUUUCAGCUUAUCGUAGGCAUACAUUAUUGCUAGCACGGUAAAGAGAACCAACACGAAUGAUGAAGUAAACGUAGCGGAACUUUUGUAUACCAACACCCUUACGUACCGGUGUCAUUCCCCACUGCCACAUAUAUUCUUAUAUGCUAACCAGCUUUGAAAAUUAAGCGAUUAAAAUAAUUAUUUCAAGAUAGAAAUAACUUAUCGGCUUCUCGAAGCUUGUGUAAUGUGAAUUCAAGGACUCGAUGGAAGUUGAAUCGCUUCAUCUAGAUUGCUUUCAGGAUUUUGGGUAACUAAAUUUAACAUUUGCACACACAAAUGUUAAUGUACAAAUGUUAAAUCUAGUUACCCAAGCAGAAUAUGAAGAUACUCUAUAGUAUAUAUGUACUAUAUAAAUCUAGUAAACAUUUAGUCUAAAUGUUAAAUCUAGUUACCUAAAAUCCUAAAAGCAAAAUGUAUAAAUAUAUAUCUUUUAAGGCAGUAUAAGCUUCAAUUCUCUGUUAAAUCUCAUCUUUCGUUGUGGCCCAACACUCUAGUAUGCAUGUUGCACCAAGCUUCUUUGAGCCGCUCUGCCCUCUGAUUUUGCUGCGUAGGGGAAUCUUUAUCAGGUUGGGCUACUUCCAGUUGUGCGAUGUAAAGCUUCGUAUCUUUUAGAAGGUAGACAAAAUACCCGCGUUCUGGAAGAUUCUGCAACGUGCACGUUGGCGCUGCCACCGUGGUUGCUUAAGCAAAUGCAUCCAACUGAAUCGUCCUUAAGCUGAAUAAUUGGAUAUGGUAUCCACUGCUUAAAGCUGCCAUGUUUAGUACGUCUUUGUUUUUCUCUCUUUAUAUUCCAAUAAGGUCGGUGAUCUUGAUGCCACACACUCAGAUGUGUGUUUAUCUCCAGAUACUACUCCAUGCUACCUACCCUUUGUGUUUUGUUCAAUAACUGGGUAUCAUAUCCUAGCCAGUGUGCCAUCUGUUUUGUGUUUGUUUCCUUCUAGUUCCAAAGGGGUCAUCAUGAUGUUACCUUCUUUUGAGGUGUCUAUGAUGACUUCGUUAAUAUCAAUAUUAACCAAUUCAAUCUGUCUUAACUAUUUGUAAGGGGUAUGAUGUAUGCAUGAUUAUAACAAUGAUUGCGCAUACAAUCGCCGCCAAAGAAACGGUCAAUACCAUUAAGACAUAUUACAGACAAUUCUCAUAAUCUAUAAUGAAUAUACAUAUUCACUACUGCAGAAGACUGUCAUUUGUAUCGGCUCAUACGUGCCAGGGCAAAGGUCACCCUUGCAUUAAGUACAUUUGCACGGUAAAGACAACCAACACGAAUAAUGAAGUAAACAUGCCGGUGCUUUUGUACACCAACACGCUUACUUAAAUGUACUGGUGUCAUUCCUCACCGGUAGCCGGCUUGAAAAUUAACCAAUUAGAACAAUUAUUUAUUGUAUCGGUGUGAUUUUUGACCUAUUGGAAUAUGAAUUUGACCGUUACUGCAUUCGUCAAGACUCAAGAGAGAAAUAACUGAUCGGCUUCUUAGAGCGUGUGCAAUGUGAAAUCAAGGACUGGAUGGAAGUUGAAGCGCUAGCACUAGUAGAGAAACGACUUUCCAUCCACCCCCUUUUGUCCCGGUUUAAAGUUGGCUCGGGAUAAAAGGUUCACCAACCGGGACUAAAACUCAGUCACUGGUGGGAGGCUCACCAACCGGAACCUUUUAUCCCGGUUGCAAAGGCUAAUGGGAAAAAAAGACUCUGAGAGGCCUUUUAUCCCGGUUUGAAACACCAACCGGGAUAAAAGACCCCCCUUUUAUCCCGGUUGGUAACACCAACCGAGAUAAAAGGGUCAAGAGCCUUUUAUCCCGGUUGGAAACACCAACCGGGAUAAAAGACCCCCUUUUAUCCCGGUUGGUGUUUCAAACCGGGAUAAAAGGGCCCCCACGAGGUGACUGGAAGGUGACUGGAAGGGGAUUAAAUCGUGGGGGACCCUUUUAUCCCGGUUGGAAACACCAACCGGGAUAAAAGGGGGUCUUUUAUCCCGGUUGGUGUUUCCAACCGGGAUAAAAGGGUCCCCCACGAGUUAAUACAAAAGGAUAGUAUCCCCUACAUAGUCAGAUGUGGUGUGUAGGUGGGAUGGUAAGGAAGCUACGCGCGAGCUCCGGAAUUUUUUUUUUUUUUUUUUGCAGCGUCGGCGCUCUCUACCCUUUUAUCCCGGUUGGUAUUACCAACCGGGAUAAAAGGGGGUCUUUUGUCCCGGUUGAGUGACCCGGGAUAAAAGACCCCCCCUUUUUUCCCCGGUUAGUUUAUCCCGGAUGCAUUUUCGGGAUAAAAGCACCCUACCAACCGGGAUUAAAGCUCACUUCUCUACCAGUGUAGCUUCAUCUUCCGCUGCAAGUUAAUUGCUUGGAUAAGAAGUUGUAGCCGCUGCAAGUUAUAAAUAGUCCCGCUGAUGCUGUGCUCCGAAGUCUAUACUAUAUAUGCGGAAACUAGAUUGCUUUCAGGAUUUUGGGUAACUAAAUUUAACAUUUGUACAUAAAAAUGUUAGUUUACGAAUGUUAAAUCUAGUUACCCAAGCAGAACAAGAAGAUAGUAUAUAGUAUAUACUAUAUAAAUCAAGUUAACAAUUAGUCUAAAUGUUAUAUCUACUUACCCAAAAUAUUGAAAGCAAAGAAAGAAUAAGUAUAUAUCUUUUGUUGGAAAAUUGGUCCACGGAGAGGCCCAUUUAGGCCUCGUUCGUUUCACCGGGAUGGGAUUCCAGUCAGGAUUACUUCCAAGUUCGGUUUGAGUGAUUCCACCCGUGUCACUCAAUCCGGCUAGGAUUCAUUCUAUGGGUGAGGAGGUAUGGUUUCAAUCCAGGCCAUCUAAUGUAGAAGGAUUCCAAUCCAGGCCGGUUUUCGUUCCAGGCCAGACUAAAACGAACAACACUUUCAAUGCAAGUCUGGUUUCAAACCGGGCCAUUUCAAACCACCCGGAAUGGACCUCGUUCCAGGCCAAUCCGGUGAAAACAAAUGAGGCCUUAAUGGAAUCCCAAAGCAAGAGUUCAGUGGCAUUCUAUAGUCCCAUGCUGCUAGUUUGAGUUGGUCGAAGCCAACUUAAAUAGGAGAGCUCUCUCACUUCUCUAAAUACGUAACUGAAGGAGAGAAGGGGGCUUGGGUUACACAACGCACGCACGCACGCAUAUUUGCGUUCUUUUCGCGUAACCAACCGCGUGACUUGAAACUUGCGACGUAGCGUGCUGCUAAGUCAAGUUGAUAUAACCUUUUUGCCGUUUGCAUGUAAUCUUUUGACAACGGUCAUUGGAGGUGAUAAGCACGCAGUCAAUACCUUAAUCUUGAGUUAAUAGGGUGGUUACUACUGCCAAUUAGUGGGGCAAUUUUGUAGGGGAAACGGUUAGCAGAGGGCUACCGUCUUCUCUAUAAGAAGUUCUGGAGACGUCCAGGAACACACAUGUACAUGUGAGAGACCCACAAAUUCCUUCCCUUCUCCCUUUUCCAUGUGGUGAAGUGUGCUGUGGUACUGAGCUGCUUGAUCUCGCCGCUCUUCUCCUUGGCAUGCACCGAGGAGGAGGGUGAGCGGUAUCUCCGAGCUAUUGCCGUCAGGAAGCCUGCACGAGGGACAACAAAAAGUUUUUGGGUAGCGCAACUGCCAGCACAACUCUCCCUCCGCCUCUUCUUCACGGUUGAUGGCCACCACAAGCAUAAACCUCGCCUUCGCAUCCACGCAAAAGGGUCGCUGGGGUGCCUUCUUGCAUCGCUUCUCAGCCUCCUUGACUUGCGGCCAGCCAAGAACUGCGCCACCACCUCGGGUGCACGCCACCACUCCAGGGCUGCUACCCCAUGCCUGCGGCCGCCGCCGGCCACCACGCGUGUGCAACCGCGUCGCACCGCUUCCUUGCUUUGUGCCACCACUGCUGCUGUACCACCAGCUCCACCACCUUGGGCUGGUCGCCAGAGUGACUGAUAACUUAUUAUCUGUAACUACUAUUAACUCAGGGAUACAUGCGUCUUUUGCUUCUCCUACUAAUAUGUCCUAAAAUAUCUAGGAUGCCUUAUAUUUCUGGACAGAGGAAGUAUUUGAAUAAAAUGAACCAAUUUAAAAAAAUGUGUUGUACACUACUACAGAAAGACCUAUCAGUGUCAAACCCAAAAAUGUUGUCACCGCCAGUUUUGGGCAUCAUUGGUGAAAGGUUGGCGGUGAUGGGCUUUCCCUUCAACAACGGCACUGGAGCCGACGGUGAUUGACAUUAGAAAACAAAAAAGGGGACCCUACCUAGCCACCCCUGCAACCCGGCCGGCCGUGCCUCCCCUCAUCCCCACCACCUCGCCUCCCCAUGACCCCCCGCCGGCGCCCUUGCGCCUAGCCCCCUCAACUGCCCAGCCGGCCACCCUCAUCACGAGAGAGAGGUGCAUGUUGUAUAAUUGCGUGAAUUUUUUAAUGUUUAAUUUCAUGUAAGUUCCGUGUAAUAAAUUGUACAAGUUUUAUUGUAUAUAUGAAUUCCAUAUAUAUAUAUAUAUAUUUAUAAUUUAAUGUAUGGUUUCAUGUGUAUAUUUCAAUCAUGUGUAUAUUUAGUAGAUUGCCGAUUUUCUUUUUCUACUAGACAAGGGUUGAUGUAUAAUUACGUGUAUAUGUUUAUUGUACGGGCAAUUAGGACAAGUUUUGUAUAAAUUUCUUUUAUUUGAUGGUUGUUGUAUGGUUUCAUGUAUAUACAUUUAUUGUACUACUUUAGACAAUUUUUAAUUUAAUGUUUCUAUGAUUAGAUGUGUGUAUAACUAAUUGUAUUAUUAGUUAAGAUGGGAGCUAAAGAGGAUGAAAGGUAUAUAAUGGAGCAGAUUAUUGCUAGCUCAAACGUUGCAAGAACCUACACCGAGGGUGAGGGUAGCUAGGUGGACAUGUACCUCAACAUGUCCAGUGAUGGCAAUGACGAUGAGGAGCACGAGCAUGACAUCUAUGAUAAUGCGGAACAAGACAUUGCAGAAUUGGAAGGUUCUAAUGAGGUGUGCUUCAUGUUGACAAUCUAGUUGGCUUUUUUUCGUUGGUCACACCUUAGUUACCAUAGAACUUCGUCUCGGGAGAAGAUUGGUGGUGGUAUGGUGAUUGGAAUUUUAUUUCCACGAAAUCUGAUUUCCAUCGAAUCAUAUCCCUUGUAUUUAUCUUCUUUUUAUUUGUGAGAGCAUCUUCUUUAUGCUUGCAAAACAAUUCAAGUGCACAUACUACCCCUAGGGUGACGAUUGGGAGUAGAAAUAAUUGCCAACAAAACAACACCACAUCCUAAGAUUCUUAACUUGUGGCAUAAUUAGUCUAGUAAAAAGAAAGAUAAAAACCUAAUGGGUGUAUGUGAGUGCAAUGUGUAUAUGCAUAUGAGUGGAAGGCAUAUAAGCAAAGACAAUAUUUACACAUAGUUCUAAACACCAUGUUUACAGCUAGGUUGCUGAAUUUCUCCAUAGCCAUAGAGAUUAAUUAACCAAGGUCAAAACACGAUGUCUAUCCCAAGAUCAGUAAUUAUUUAUAGCACAAGAAAAAGAAAGCGCAUUGCAAAGUUUAUAAACCAACCAAUACAGCAUGAAAACAAGAUGAAUAGCUAGCAAGGUUUAUUAAACUGAAUGAUGACGGUCUGUAAGCAAGUUUAAACACCAUCUUUACACAAGAUUGCAAAUGGAAAAUGCCCAUAUGAAGCACUAACAUGGAUAUGAAAUCAUUCAUCAUAAAGCGUAAAGAACAACCAAGCCAACCAUAUGCAAAGCAUGAAUGGAAUGCAAUGAAGGUGCAAGAGAACAUUUUUGGAUGAACACAUUAUGAUGAUGGCAAAAUGCAAUGCAUGCAGAAAAAAUAAAUAUGAACAUGAAUAUGAUGAUCAGGGGCGGACCCACUAUUGUGGCCUGGGUAUUCCUCGGCAUACCCAAUAUUUUUGGGAAAAUGUUUAGUAGUUUUUAAUGGCAUAUACAUGUAUAAUAUAGUUUAGGUGUUAAAAUUGAUAUUCACAGCUAUUUUGGGCUCCAAUUCGCGUCCAAACCAACCUGGCCCACAGACCGCACCCGGCCGCCCGGCCCAUCGGCCCAUCUUGUCACUGAUCCUCCCACCACCACACUCAGCCCGUCAGUUAGUCAGGUCCCGAGCUCCUGCCUGACCUAGUCCGCUACCACCGCCAGGCGCCAGGCACAGCUGUACACGCCGCCCCCGUCCACCCACGUCCGCCGCACGGCCGCGUCGCGCCCCCCCCCGGCGCCCGCUGCUGCCAGAACCCAUUAGGCCUCCACCGGCAAGUCCACCCACAGUCCCGCGCGACGCGGCAGCCUCUUGGCUCUCGGCGCUCGCGGCGCGCCAAUGCCUGCGCAGCCCCAGCAGGCGACUGCCCCCCCCCCCCCCGCAUCGGGCCUCGGCCCCUCCCCAGCUCCCCCUCCCCCCUCCACCAGGACUGCCUGCUGGCCCCCACCGCGAGGUAAUCGAAAUGGACUGCUCAAUCUCUCAAUCUGUUGACAUGAUGCACACGGUUGCAAAAAUAGAUGUGUCAAAAUAGAUGUAUUGCCAAUUGCUAUAGAUGCAUAUGGUUGACAUGAAGAAGUCAAAAAUGACAUUUGGUUCCUUGUAGGCAGUCAAAAAUGAAGAAGUCAAACAAUAUUGAUCUGAAAUCAAUGCGGGAAAGGGCUACGAAGACACACGGGUAGAUUCCCUUGUGAACUUUUUAUGUCGUUCGUCUAAAUAUAUUUUUGCAAUGGGCAUACCCUACUCUGAAAUCCUGGGUCCGCCACUGAUGAUGAUGGUCUAAACAUAAAACAAGCCUAGAUUAAUUAGCUACAACUGAAAUUAAGCAAAGGUUAAUGUCAUUGACCCUAGCUCUAUCCUAGCUUUUACUAAAGUCCCGGCACAUAUAGUGGUUGGGCCCACUCUCUCUACUUCCCUCUCUGCUGCAUGCACACACACGAGCAACUGGAGGCCCAACAAAGCCCAGAAGGGUUCGGCCGAACCCGUCCGAUCCAGUCUGAGCGCCGCUCCCUCCCAGCCUUCGCGCAGAUGCUCCUCCAACGUUCCUUGACCCCUCCCUCAGUGUCCCAUUGGGUUUAACAUUGUAGGAGAGGAGUCCCUUUUUUAAAAUCUCAACCACCUCCUCUCCUCAUUCACUCCACUCUCAUCUCCAUCAAACUCACCAAGAUCCACAUCGGAAAUACCUGCUUACCACCAUGGCUGGCAAAGCCCUCGUCCCUUUCACCAACUUGGGCUUGACCAUUGAUCUCGAUGGGAAAAUCACUCCAGCAAAUGUCAUUGUCCCUGUCGGCGAUCUGGCGAUGGAGGAGGUCCAGGCACUAGAGGUCGAGCCCCUAGCCAUCAUACCGCCCAAGGGGUAAAGCAGGAGCAUGACAGGCGCUGCUAGGGGUUCAGCCGAACUCCCAGUUCAGCCAAACGAGGACGGCGUCGCCUCGGCCUCCCGCUCGACUGCAUGCUUCCCCUUGCCAAGGAGGACUCCAGAACAGCGGGCGCGUGCGUCAAGUCCCUACAAAAGGCUGAAAUACAAUGAAUAUCCAGGGUCACCCUUGAAGAUGGGUGAACGCUACGCCGGGUCCUUGUUUGACUAGUACGGCGAUGCAUUCUGCCACCGCUAUGUCGUUGUCGAGAUUAGCGGAUCAAGACUUAGACUAGUAAAUUUCUUUUAUGCGCGUAAGGCUUCAGAUGGUGGCGUGGGAGACAUGGGUUUUAUACUAGUUCGGGCAAUGGAAUACCCUACGUCCAGUGUCUGGAGCUGCUUGUGUUGCCCACGCGGGGUUCUGUAGUAGGGGUUACAGGUGUGCGAGAGAGGGAGCUAAUCCCAGGUCUCUUAGGCGUGUUCCGGUCCUCUAGAUGGGAGAAGUGUGUUCUGUUUGCUUGGGAGUAUCGGUUGUGUCUGAGUUGUCUCCGGAGCCUCCUCCCGUCUCAGGUCCCCGAUUCUCCUUUCAUAGCACAAGGAGACCAUCGGGGUUACAGACGAGACCGAGCGUGGGGAGGAGUAAAGAGAUAAACAUAGCUAGGUAAAAAUACAACAAGAAAGGGGGGAACCAAGUUUCUAGGUCACCGGCGUCCUCGCCGGCCUUCGACUUCCGCCGGCGCAUUUGUCGGAGGAGGGUGGCCGCCAUCGCGUUCUGUCGAUGGCUUCCUCGGUGACUGUAGCCACCGGGCGUGAUGAUGGCAUUUCGUCGUGACCCUUUGUCUGUUGGGGGAGGCGGCGGAUCCUGCCAUUCUGCUGACGGCUCGCGGAGUGCGAACGUCGCAUCCCUGCCGCUGGGCACGCGGGGCGCGAGAACGUGCGAGGCUUCCCCCUACCCCAGGCGGCGCAGGCCAUGAGUGCCCUGUGGCAAAUCGGAGGAGGCCGCAGCUACUGUAGCUUGUACUGUGCAGCCACGUAUGGGUACUUGUGGCAGGUUGCGUGGUGGAUGCGGAUAUCCUUCUCCCUGACAGAUCUGCGGCGCAUUUAUGGCGAGAUCGACAUGGGGACCCACAAGACCCGCGCCCAAGGCGGAUACUUGUCUGGAGGGCCCGGGUUAGCCUGACCCCCUACGCUUGGGGUCGGGCGAGGCGGAGACUUGCGGCGGGGCGUCGGACGCUCCCGACACUAGACCUGCGGUCGCGCAAGGCGGAGCUUGGUCUUCCGGGGGUCGGGGGUGCCGGACCCCAGGAUGCGGGGUCGGGCGAGGUGGAGCGUAAUUCUUGCCUCCCAUGUUGGGCCGAUGGCAGUCUUUGUUACCUCUAGUGGGCUUGGGCCUUUAUGUUUUGUUGUUUCCAUGGGCUUCGAGAGGUCGUUAAUAUUUCCCCCCAACAGUAGCCCCCGAGCCUGUGGUGGAGUGGGGGCGCUCCUCCGGAGGCUACUAUCAUCGCCCCUAGGGAAUCCUCGCAGUUGAUCCGGGAUAGGAGGUGUUGUUUGCACGGCUUGACCGAGGGGGUCGAUUAGGCGACGCAUCCUGUGAGCGACUCGGUGCGGGAGGGUUUCUUGUUGUUCCCUUCUGUCUGAGAGCCUUAAGUCGAGACCACCUGCGUGGCCUUUGGUUGCAAGGCCAGCCCCCGAGCCCCCGCACGUUGCAGGGGACCGGUCGGAGGCUAGGUCGACUUUUGUUCAUUACCCUCAAGCGUCUGUUCGCUAGGACGGAGGGGGCGAGCCGUGCCAUGCUAUCCUCAUCGGACGAACCAUGGUGCUCAUUGAGUUACUAACGGGUUGAUUCGAGUGGGAUCCCGGUCCCCGUUCGGGGGGGGUCCGGCUUGGGCCAAGCUGGUGGCGUACCCCAGGCUCCGGUCGGCCAGUUCAUAUAGUUCCUGAGUCCGUUCGGUCGGACCGGGGGCUCAUUGCCUUUCUUCGGGGAAAAACCAUGAACUUUGAUGCCGGUCCAGACUCGAAUGUGAGAUUGAGACGCCCGGGGCUGUCGCGUGCCCGGGUGAUGGCCGCUAGCGGACCCGUCUCCUCUCACCCCUCACUCGGGGGUAUCCUGAGGCGGCUGUCGAACCCGUGGCGGGCCAGCCUUCGAACCUCUGGAUCGUAAUGGGCCGUAGGGGCGUUUUCAGCCCCGUAUCCCUUUUUACCUUUUGGUGGGCCUUGGGCCGAAUCAUGGAGGAGGUCGGGCCUUGGGCCGGAUGCGGAGGAUGUCGUGCCUUGGGCCGGAUGUGGGGGACGUCGUGCGUGUCUUCCGGGAGACGAAGUGGUGGAGGGUGCCAACCCGCGAAUCGAGGGAGGAGGGGAUGUUUCUACUGCAGGUCAUGCGCACGGUUUCCGAAAAGGCAGCGGGCGUGACGGGACGUACCUCGCGCCGCAUUUAUUGCGAUGGGGGCGUCUGUUCUGCUUCCCUCGUGCCUUCCCUAUAAAACGAGGACUUCGCCUCGCCGGUUCCGCCCGCCAUCUACCUUCAAGCCUUUUCGCCUCCUCGCGCGCCCUUAGCUUUCCUGUGCCCGCUUCGUCUUCCUCCGCCCAGUGCCGCGCCCUUUCUCCCCAUCCGCCGUCGAGUUCUUCUCCCUCCGGCGAUGGGAUCCUGGGCGCGUUCCCACUUCGGCCCCUCACGCGCCGAAGGCCUAGUGAGGAAAGGCCUCCUUUGCGAGAGGACGGAGACGGAUGAGUGGGGGUUCCCUGAGAUGGAAGAGGUGCCGACUCCGCCCACCGGCUACGUCGUUUCCUUUGCCCACUUCCACGAGAGGGGGUUUGCGACUCCGCCGAGCCUCUUCUUCCGCGGGCUUUUGUAUUACUACGGGCUUGAGCUGCAGCACCUCAACCCCAACGGGAUUCAGCACGUCGCGGCGUUCGUUGCGGUGUGCGAGGGGUUCCUGGGCAUUGAGCCCAACUUCUCGCUGUGGAAGUACUUCUUCACGGUCAGCCUAUACCAGAAGGCCGAGAAGAGGGGAAGCCAGCAGCGGUCGACCCCGGUGCCGAUAGGGUGCGUCGGAAUCCACCUCUGCCAUACUCGCGCCAAGGAGUAUAUCGCGAUGAAGACCGCGGCAUCCCACAAGGGGUGGCACCAGCAAUGGUUCUACGUGAAGAACUACUCCAACCCCCCCUGCCGGAGUUCACCGGCCGCAUUAUUGAAGCGGCGCCGGAGGUGUGGGUGUACGGCCCGGUGGAGAAGGAGAAGAAGCGGAUCACCGGCCUGCUGCAGGCCAUCGAGCACCUGAAGGAGAGGGGACUGACCGGAGCCGGAGUCAUCGGGGCGUACCACGCCCGGCGGGUGGCGCCGCUGAUGCUCCGGGUCCGCUCGCUCGCCGACAUGACCCCCGGUGCUCUCACCGAUGGCACUGUCCUCGCGACGGGUGCUCUCGCUGCCUCCGAGAUCCGGCAGCGGAUCCGGGAGGCGCUGGAGGACAAGGACGCCGAUUACCCGGUGCCCGGCCACCCUCCGAUGCGCCCGGACGAGAAUUUCAUUGAUCUGGUAAGGAUUUUGCGCGCCAGUUUCCCUCUCUUGCGUUUCUUGGUAUGCCGUUCUGACGCGAGGCCCUCUGUGUUUGCAGGGUAGCAUGACCCGGGUCGUCGACUUGCGUCCGCCAGUGUCGGAGGACGCCGAGUGGCGGUAGCAGAACCGUCUCCUUGCCGAGAAGCAAAAGUGACGCAAGGACAAGAGACAGCGAAGAAGAAGAAGAGGGCCGCCAAGGAGUUCCAGCGGCGGCGGUGGGGAUAGGUCGUGUCGGAUGACGAUGACGAUGAGAAGGAGGAGGAGGAUGACGAGGAGGAGGAGGAGUUUAUCCUGUCCCCCCGGUCAGGGGCGCUUGUUAUCCGGGAGCCGCGCUCCCAAGCGGCCAUGGGGGACAAGGCGGGCGAGCUGCCUGCCCGGACCCGAUCCUGCGAAGCUUUGGGGGCGCGCCCCAGGGGUCGGCGCAGAGCGCCCCCCGGGGGUCGACGGAGCCGACCCCCAUCCCUACACCUGCAGCCCAGGAGCAGAGGAGCAGCGACAAGCGGCCGUUGCCAGAUGCCCCGGGGUCGGCGUCCAGCUCAGAGGCGAAGCGCGCGCGCCGCCCUUGCGCUGGGGGAACGUGAGUUGAAUUUCCUUGCGAAUCUCGUUCCUUUCCAUGCAUUGUGUUUGUUUCCGCUGAUGCUGUUUGUUGUCUCACAGCACCGCCCCUCAAGGCCUUGUCCCGCCGUUGGCGCCAAAGAAGGCGUUGCGGUGUUGUCGCCUCUGCGGGGCGGACCGCGGCUCCGCCGGCGGCGAGUGGCGGGGUCACUGGUGAGACCGCGGGUCCUACCGCGGAGGUGGCCCCUGCGGCGGCAACCGGUGGAGUGGUGCCACCGCCGGGCAUGGGACAGGGUCUGGACCCCGCUCCGUCCUCCGCCUCUUCGGCCGACCCCGCGGUGCAGAGUAUCGCUCCUGGGGGCCCUCAGGCCGGGGAGGUGAUUGACCUCGACGCCGACGAGGUGGAGGAGACGGCGGCGGUGGAGACGGGGGCGGUUGCCCCAGCGGCCAUGACGGGGACGACGACGGCGACGGGGGAAGGAGAGUCUACCCCCGCGGCCACGGCGGGGACAGUGGCGACAGAGGAGGCGGGGACGCCCGCCCCGGCGGCUGCGACGGAGGAGGCGGCGGUGACGGAGACGGGGGCUUCCGCCCGGGAAGCCACAGCCGAGGUGGCAGCGGCGACGGAGGUGAAAGUGCCUGUUCUGGAGGCCACGGUGGGGGUGGGGACGCCUGCCUCGUGGCCACGACGGAGGGCGAGGCGGCCCCAGGGACACUUGCUCCGGCACCCGCGUUGGAGGCGGUGGCGCCGACGGGUUGGCCCGUGGCGGCCUCGACGGGGGCGGGGGUGCGUGCGCCGGGACCGUCGGUGAGGCCGGCGACUUCCGGGAUGGUGGUGCCCGUCUUGACGGCGGCGGCGGCGCGGUCGGCCCCCGCCCUUGCCUCUACCACUCCCAUUCCCAAGGCGUGGAGCGGAUCCGUCCUGCGUUGGUCGUCUCGUGACGACCCGCAGAGGCCCCUCUUCACGUUGGAUGAUGCCACAGAAUGGGGCAAGUGGCAGGCGCUGCAGGGCGGACUCGCUAACGUCCGCGCCGCUCUAUCUUCGGCGUUGGGGGAGCUGGACGGCGUCAUCUUCCCCGGUGGCCGGGUAUGGUGCUUUCUCCGUUGGUUAUUUUCUUCCCGUUACUUCGUCCCUGAUGGCACAUUGUUCUGCAGGCCCUCCAAGAAUGUAGCCGGGGAAAAUCUGAUUUCCUUUGGCUCGAGCAGGGGCUCUGGGAGCGCUUCAACUUGGAGUUGCAGCGGACCGGGGAGCUGACCAUGCAAGUCGCCACCGUCUAGCAUGUCAUCGACGAUCUGCGAAGGCACGAGCAGGCGGCACAGGAGGACGCGCGGCGGGCGGAGGCCAAGUUCCAGGUCGUUGCCGAAAGGGCUCGCUGCGACCGCGAGGAGUUCCAGGCCGUUGCCGAAAAGGCCCGCCACGACGCUGAGGAGCUCGCACGGCUGAAGGUGCAGCAUGAAGCUCUUCAGAAGAGCGGCAGAGGGCCUGGCAGGACCGGGACGCCGAGAAGGUCCGGAAGGAGGAGGCUGAGAAGGUGGCGGCCAACCUUGGGGCUGAGGUCAGCCAGCUCCAAGUGCAAGCGCGAGAGCUUCAGGCCUCCGUGGCCCAGGGGCUCGACCAGGAGCGCCAGCUGAAGGCCUAAUCCGAGGGUAUGACUCUGUUUAUUUCUUUGUCUUUGUGAUGUUGCGGUGAUAUUUUAUUUGGCGGGUUCUUCUGGAUGAUCCUUGCAGAUGAGCUCAACUGGCUGAGGGAGGUGCUUGACGCGGAGCGCGCUGAGCACGGCGACCUGCGGGACGCGGUCCGCGUCAUCUGUGACUUCCUUAGUGUGGUCCAGGGGGAGGGGACGAGCUCGCUGGCGGCUCGUGUCCUCGGGACGUACCGCCGGACCAGCGAGAUCGCCCUGGAAGCGCUUCGCACCGGCUUGAGGCAAGCCUUUGGGGUCUUCGGCUCCCACUAUUCCGGCAUCAACUUCGCCGGGAUGAGCGGGGGAUACGCCACCGGCUACUACGAGGCCGAGCUGGAUGAGAUCGACGUGUCGGUGCUCAGCCCGGCGGAGGCCUUGGUGAAGCUCCUCGAGGAUGAGGCCGUCCCGCCCGAAGAUCCCCGGACGAGUUAACUAUAUCGGGCUGGCGCCCCAGAUGUAAAUACGUUAGGGAAAGACUUGUUUUUUGUGAGGGCCGUAGAGGCCUUUUCUAUGAAUUGUCGUAAAAAAGUUUUUGAUUCCCUUUCUUGCUUUUUGGACUUGGAAAGUUUAGAGCACGUUGUCGGGCGUGUCAGUAAGCUUUGAUGAGCGAAGGCACCGUAGCCGCUGGGGCGUCGUUUUUUUUGCAGUCCGAUCAAUCUUGCCUGAACACCGUUCGUGCACUUUCUCCUUUUUAUGCCCAAAAGUUCAGAAAGAGGGUCGGCUCGGAAAGAGAAAGCGUUUUGAGAGGGUGUCAAGUGGCUUAGGUACUUGCGGCAGGUUGCGUGGUGGACGCGGAUAUCCUUCUCCCUGACAGAUCUGCGGCGCAUUUAUGGUGAGAUCAACAUGGGGACCCACAAGACCCGCGCCCAAGGCGGAUACUUGUCUGGAGGGCCCGGGUUAGCCCGACCCCCUACGCUUGGGGUCAGGCGAGGCGGAGACUUGCGGCGGGGGGUUGGACGCUCCUGACCCUAGACCUGCGGUCGGGCGAGGCGGAGCUUGGUCUUCCAGGGGUCGGGGGCGCCUUACCCCGGGAUGCGGGGUCGGGCGAGGCGGAGCGUAAUUCUUGCCUCCCAUGUUGGGCCGACGGCAAUCUUUGUUACCUUGGGUGGGCCUGGGCCUUUAUGUUUUGUUGUUUCCAUGGGCUUCGAGAGGUCGUUAAUAUUUCCCCCCAACACUAUGAGGAGGACUUGUGGGCAGAAAGUCAGCUACCACAAACUUGCCUCUGAAUAUUUGGAGUGCAAACAUUGGAUGGUGGUUGUGGAGAGCCCCAGCCAUACCUCGCACCCGUGGAGAGGUAAUUGUCGGAUUGCUUGGUUCGUCUCUAGAAUGCGACAAGGUCAGGCGCCACCUCUCACUGCUGCCAGUCAGAAGGCCGAGGGGCCAGUUUCAACAUAGUAAUGAGAAUCUCCGAAGGCCAAUAUGGUUAAGCAGCUAACCUCCAUGAUCAUAGACUUACGUUUAGAAAAUAGGAGGCUUAGCGAUGCGUUAACAGAGCAGAAGUUAGAAACAGAAGAACUUAAGGACGACUUCCGUGUCCUCCGCCUUGGUCUUUGUGCUAAGAUAAAGCGCUUGUACAAUGCCACGGGGAAUGACGGUCUCUACGAUGCAGCUCAAUAGACGUGCCCCUUGUAUCCUUUCCUUUAGGCACUUUAGAAUAUGUUUAUUUGUUUUCCUUCAUUUUAAUUUCCAAUAGAUUGUUAGCGCCUCCAAUUUAAUUUCAAUAAAGUGUAGACUCACCGGUCAUCCAACUUGAUGGAGUCCUUUUGUCACCUAGUUGUCUUUGGAAGAAGUAGCUGGGUACAAAAUAAGUGUGGGGGAGAGCCACAGACUCUCUAGAGCUGAAACAAUGCACAACACCCACAAAUAGAGAAAACCACGCUGCACCAGCACGUACGUGAAAGUGGAGCCAGAGCUGGACCCAUAGGGGUUUGGCCAACCCAAGGGGUGGCCCACUCGGGCCAUCUUCAUCCACCGCGUCGGUUUGUGUCUCUUUACCCCUGAUCUCCCUGAUUCAUGAGUUUGAAUGAAUUUUAAAUCUGAUCAACUAAUUCAAACUCAACUAAAAUGAAUCAACUGCUCCACCUGCUCUACAUGUUUUCUAUGGUUGGCUUGCAUAUGUUUUAUUUCAUGCUUAUCAUCUUGAUGCUUGUGAACAAAUAUCUUUAGGACAGCAUGCUCAUCUAAGUAGUUGAUGUGUAUGAUAUGGUUCGAUGAUAUGAUCUUCACUCUUAAUGCUUAAGUGCUUGGGAAAAUCUAUUUGAAAAUUUAAAAGCCUUUUUGAAAUCUCCUCUUUGAUGUGCCAAAGUCCUACCAAAGCCAUAUGAUAAGUUAUCUUGAAAAACCAUUUGCAUAUGUUGCUUGUCUUUGCAUUGAGCUUUGUCAAAUUGGUGUGACCCUUGUCACAAUUCUUUUCAUACUUUCAUGAUCAAGACUCAUGUGCACGCCAUAUACCCCUUGCUAUGCUUCUAUGAGAUGUUAGCAUUGUACCAUCCAUUCAUUCCACAAAAUAAAUGCUCCACCAUAUGUGUUGGUCUCCUUCUAAGAUUAUUGUUACAAAAGAGAUAUGGGCUAUCAAAAAAAAAUAUGAAUGUCCAAGAAAGUUGGACACAUGAAUGUCCAAUAAAAAGAAAAAGAAAGAUAGCCAUGUCCUCAGAAAUAUUUACAAAGGGAGAGAGAUCAUACAAAAAGGAGUUUCCAUUCCAUCCACCACAUCCAUACAUGUGCACAUCUUGAUCUGAUUGUAUGACUUAUUUUUCUCUUUGGAUCUGGUCUUUGACUUUGCAAUAUAUGUGAUGCAAGCAUGCCUUAUCCUUCAUAGCCUACCUUGAGCUCCACAUAUAGCCAUCAUUAGAAGUAGGAUGAAGAAAGGCAAGUCUAAUGCCUUGGUGAGGACAUAUACACAUUGAGUGAUCUGAGAGAAUCAAAUGAGGAGCUAAGCAAGGUUUUGUUUUGAAAACUAAUUGAAAAAUCCCAAGCUACUUGGCAUAAGGAGUUGAGGUGACUUGAUUCAAGACCAUUACAUUCCUCAACUACCCAAGAUGGCAUGAUAGACACUCCAAAGUUCACAAGUGCAGGUAUGGUUUGGAAUAUCUUUUAGGCUCGCUUCAUACCUUUGAAAGUUAUGUUUCACCUUAGUCCUUUCUCGUUCACUCAAGGAUAAGCAAAGGCUAAGUGUGGGGGUGUUGUUGAUGGCUCUUAAGUACAAAAUCUGCGCCAUCAACUCUUGCAUAAACACAUAAAAUAUGAGCAUCAACAAUAGUGGUAGGAGUUAUUACAAACGAAUUCCACAAGUCUUGGUGAAUAUUUGUAUGCAAGCCCAAUAGGAGAGAAAAGACACCUCAAAAGCAAGGAAACACACUCUCAACCAAUCAAGAGCAAGCACAUGGAACCAUGGGCCCACAACCAAAAGGAAAUCGACUACAUUCCAAACACCCUAUACCCACAUGAGAACCCAUAGGGCAGUGACCCAGAGCAAAGGUGAUGCCAGAGUGUAGAUGGUAGUUAGCAUGCCAAAUUUUGAACCGCAAGCGCUCGGAUUAGUUGUUUCUUUUCCCUUAGAGAUUCCCCCAAGGUUUAUCAAUCCAUGGAACAAGGGAUUUGCACGUUUCACUAAGCACUAAUCAAUGUAAUUGAAAGCUUUUCGAAUAAGAUAUGAUUAUGCUAACAAAGGAACUAAGCAAUCUAGAUUAAGAUGGAUAGAGAGUACAGGUUGUGAACAAGAUAGAUUAAACGCUUGUAGAUGCAAUCACCAUGCAUGAAUGAAUUAGAUCUAGGUGUUAUUGUGAGUGGUUGUGAACCAUGCCCAACACUUUCCCACCCGCAACAUUGUCACUACAUGUGGGUACUCAACUAUCGGAACAUAAGAACACAUCAAGAUGAUCAUUCUAGGUAAGCAAAUAAGCAACCCAAAGUAGCGCUGGCCAGCCUUUUCAUGAAAGAGCAUCAUCAAGAUAAGAUUGAUAACAAAAUAGAUCUCAACCAAAGGUUCAGCGAUUACAAAUCAAGAUCUUCGUAUAACCCCGAUGACAAAUAGAGGUAUUACCCCCAUGAUCUUACACAUGUUGAUGAAUUUUAGGGUAAAGGACACCCUGUAGAUCAACUGGACCAAAGAUGAUGAUGAACGGGGGCAGGGAAGGCCCAGGUUGAUCAGCCUGCGCACUUUUGAGCCGAUCAGCUCAGGGGGUUUCCUCCUCCCCUGGUGCUCCUCUUCGCGUGGCCUCCUCUGGAUCCAAUCUUCUCUUCAUUUCUCCUACUUGUGGCGGCAAUGGAUGGUGUUUGCAUGGUGAUUUCCUCUUCUCCCCAACUCUCCCUCCUUGAAGUCCAUGAGGGGGUAUUAAUAGUCUCCAAUAGGCGGCAGCUCUGGGUCAAUGUCAGUGAAAAAAUCCUAGAGAUCAUCGUACACUUCAUGCUGAGGAAACAAGAGGUUGACCGAGCCCUGGGAUAGACCAAGAGGAUCAUCCUAGAGGGUCCCAGGCUAAUCGGUCUAGGCCCUUCCUAGCCCUUCUAGUCCUCUCCUUCCUCGUGCUGGCUUUUCUCGAUGACCCUUGUCCAAAUAUCCAUGAAGCUCUAUAUACAUACCCCCUUGAUUAUGUUGUAUUUCCUGUCAAAAUACAAUGCUCCAAAAUACAACACAUAUGCAAUAAUAGGGUUAUUUCAGGUGCCAAUUGGUGGGUUAGUAUACGAAUAAGCAUGAAAAUACUGUUUAAAUGACACUAAAAGUGUGUCAAUAACGAGCACCAACAAUCCCCCCACGCUUAGAUCUUGCUCGUCCUCGAGCAAGUCUAGCGACUAAAAGAUCUUGAAUUAAACCUGAGCAAGCGAGUCAAGUACCUAGCCUUGAAACAAAAGAUUAGAGGAGCAGCAAAGAUAAUCAAAGUCUGGGUGUUCAAAGAUUUAUCUAAGCAAAGAUUCCCCUACAACUAUUAUUCAGAACCAAGUAACUUCAAAAAUCAACUACACUUAUUUUCUGGCUUUUUUCAGAGGGUUUUUCUUUCAUCAUAAAACAAUCUCCCUGCAACAAAAUUGAAAAAAGAAUUAUUUUCAAGGUGCUUACAUGUCGCUUAAAUGAAUGUUGGCUAUCCUACUUAUUUGCAAGCUCUCAUCUCUCAAAAUUCAUUCAAUUAUAUGGUGGAGUUUGGGUAAGGUUAGCUAGAAUCAACACGUAUAUUAUUGAAUUAAGAAAACCCUCUAACGGUGGCCUACCUUCCGAGCCAUUGAUCAUAAGAAUAUCCACAUAAUGUGAAGUUUUCAAGGAUGAGAAGAUAUAGAAUGGUGGACAUGUGCAAAGGCAAAGAAAUAUAGUGACUCUGAGGCACAAGCAAUGUCCUCGUCGUUGGAUUGCAUAUGGUUGUAAUGAAAAUAUGUUCCUUAAACAAGUCUAUCUUUUCUUUGCACCACUCUUGAUCUUCAUGACAGUAAAAACUCCUCCUUUAUUUCUUUCUCUCUUUUCCUAUUAUUUCUUUUUAUUUGUCUCAAUACUUUUAUUUCUUUAUUUCUUUAUUUUAAUCUCUUCUCUGAACCUCUUCUGAACACCACAUAAUAAAAAUAAGUUUUAGAUCCUUCCAGAGACCUUCCAGGAAUUUGCUACAUGAAAACCGAGGCAAGGAGACCCCAGGCCGAUUGGCCUAGCCACUCCUUUGCUCUCCUCUAGCUCUUCUUUCUGGUGAAGCUUCCUUAUCUUGUAUCUUUCCAAAAAUUUCAUAAAGCUCGACUAGAAACGGAACAGAUCUUCAUAUAAUGAGUUGUGUUCAAGGAAUUGGUAAUAAAAUUGAGAAAUUUGUGGUUCGGGUUUACGAAUUCAGUACAAAAAUAUGAUUGUUCCAAUGAAGAACUCUCAUUACUGAAUAUUGACGAGGCAAGCAUUCAAAGAUGGUAAAAAGGAUAUGAUCAAUUCUCAAAAUUAAAGCAAACCAAGAGAGAGCGAUCCUAAUUCAAUUCAAAGUGUCAAAUGUUGCUUAUGGUGGUAUGAAUAAAUAUUUUUAGGCAUUGGGUAGGAUAAAUAAAAACUCUCAACCUGGUUAAAAGAUAUUGAUCAAUCUUGUUUUUGCAGAGGUUUUAAAUAAAAAAUAAAAUUUUAAAUCACCUCCAAUUCAAAGCCUUACUCAUAAAUCAUAAUCAAAACUGAAGCACUUGAUCAUCAUAAAGCAUGGGUAUUGCAUAAACAAAUCGAUUACUAAAACUCCACAACUACGAUUUAGAAUUCAAGACAAUGCUCAUAAUCUAAAGUUGCAAAGAUAAAAUAAAAGACAACCAAGCCAAGGUAGACACUAAAAACACUUGCACGAUCCUUGAAUUUUAUUCAUGCUUCUUCUCACAAAGACGCUAAAGUAGCCAUGUAGGCCUAAGUCUUCCCAAAAGCUUAAGAAAACUACUACUUUAUCUACUUUUGGUUGAAAUAAAAAGACUAAUCUAGACUCUCACAUGAUUCGACUCGACCAAAUUAGAUCCAAAAACUCAUACGAGCGACGAUCUCCCCCCCCUCACGCUUAAAAUCUACGACCUCCUCGUCGUAGCCAUAUGGAGUACAAGGAAAAGAAGCUUGUAAACGCUCUAAUGACGCUACCCGCACUACUUGCACACGGGAUGGUUGCUGCUUCCUUCGCUUUGUUCUUCCUCAUGUUGCUGCACAUCCCGAAGAGCUUCCUCACGUUCCUCUGCAAGAACUUGAACUCGUCCUCCUGACGGCGAUCAUUAUCUUCUGCCUUUUGAUCCAGAGCUUGUAAGGCUUGCAUGAUGUCAUCGAACGCAUCGAAGAGGUAGUGGAUGUUCUUCCUGCAAGCUGUGGAACAUGUACGAUCAUGCUCCUCCGAUUCUGGCCCGUCGUCUUCUAGAUCCUUCUCUUUGCCCUUGUCUUGACGGUGGCUAUCUUGCUCCUUGCUCGCCUUCUUGCCUUCAGCCCAAUCCCAGUACGUGUUGUCAUCUUCUUCAUCGUCACGGCCUGCAGCACCCUAUGAUCCAUUGUCUAUCUUGUAUGAAAGAAUCAGAAGCUUGUUCUCCUCAGGGUGUCUUGCGCGGUGCAGCGUUUGCAAGUGCAAGACUUGCUAGUUCCUUUUACACAUUGUAAUGUUCAUUGCAUGCUCUAAUUGUUCUACAUUUGUAAUUUCUUGGUGAAGUUUGGUUACUGAUCCACUGUUUGAUUAACUCUUGGGCCCAAACACUGUACUACUUCUGAUUAGAUAUCUGUAUCUUGACUUUGACCAAAAAAAAUAUCCGGCAGUUUUUGCCAUUAAAGUUUCAUAAAUCAUCUUGCAAAAAUCGUACUAUACAACAAGGGACGGUUUAUUAUAAAAUAUACGUUCCCCUUAUCACAUGCCACUUCCACUCAAAAGGCAACGAAUCAGUUUUCAAUCCUGAGUGAGCAAUUUGCUUUUAUUACCGAUGCCUCCUAUUCCCUUGUGCACCAAGUUUAUUUUGGAUAGGGCUGCAAAAAACGACUAACCAGCUCGGAUUCUCCACCUGCAAAACCGCAUCUGCAGCAACCAACCCCACGCGGUGGAAAAAAAAACAAAACCUAGAAACCGGACGGGGGUGGAUGUGGGGCUCGGAGCCCAAGCAAAAAACGGAUCGGGAGCGCCGGAGCAGGCCAUCACCGGAUGUUAGAGAUAGAAAAUGGUUGAAGUUUGGAGUGGAAAUCAAACAAGCCUUGGAGCAAAGGAAAAAAAAAGAUCAAACCACUCAAGCAUUCAUUUGAUUUAGAAAAGAGAACAUUUGUUAAGGUGGGGAGUUGAAAUCAUCUUUUAAUUAGUUCCACGUAUCUGGUAUCAUUACAGUUGGUUUACUUGUGUAAGUAUAAGUAGCUCUGCCGAAGCCUUUGCUCCUAUAAUUUAGUAACUAGUACAAAUGGAUCAAUAGGAAAAUCAAGUUGCAAUCAUUUCUCAGCCAACCAAACCUAUGUAAAUCAAAUUAUUGUCCAUGCCCGGCAUGCACAGGUGCCUGCCAUGCAUGCAUUGUUGCUCCAUUGUAAUAACCAUUAUUGUCCAUCGAUGUUGCAGCGCAUGUGUGCACUGUGCAGACACCAAGCAUCGAGAUUAUGUACUAGUAAGGUGUUGAAAUAAUGGGCCUAGCCCAUAAGUAAUUUCAGAAUUUCAAAUAAAUCUCAAAGGCCCAUGUGGGCAAGAGGUGGAGUGGUGCAAGUCUUUAGUCCCACAUUGCUAGUCGAGGGGAGGGAUGACCAACUUAAAUAUGGAAGUUGUCUCCACUCCUCCAAGCUAUGUGUGAAGGGCGCGGGCGCGAGGCACUUGCGUGAAUGGUCCGCCGAAAUCUGGCCCCCCUUGCGGGGGCGCGGCUUCCUUUUGCCGUUUUAUUUUUUGGUUACUUGGUCGUUAAGUCAUGGAAUCCUAACCGGUUUAGAUCACGAUCGUGAAGGUUUUUGGGAAGCGCUCUGCGCGACUGCUCGAUCGCUUCUUCCGCUUCGUCAAGUUCUUCGUCGACUCCUUCACCACGGCUCGUCUACCUCUUCGUCGCUCGGGCCUCACUCGUCGUCGCGAACAACGUCAGGCUGCUGAUCGUCGUCGCCUGCUGUAUCCGGUAGUCGUCCAGGAGCCGGUUUUCAUCAAGAAAGAAACGUACGGUCUCUUAACUCACAUUAUGUCUUCCAUACUAGCUAUUAUGAUUGUUGCAGUCUGAUAGCUCUGGAUAGUAUGGUAGAAUGUCUGAUUCUAUUUGCAAUGAUAGACUUGUCUAGAUCUUGCGUAGACAUGUCUAGUUUAAUCUGCUGCUUGUUCAUCAUAUUCAUGAUUUAUUUCUGGAUUAAGUUAAAACUAAAAGUGCUUAUAUAUCCAACAUAAGGUACCAAGAACACGUGAAGCACCCGGGGGAGGCUGCUCCACUCCGCAUGCACAGGUGGGCACGGCACCACUACUCGUCUCCUUCAGGCUGAGGAUAAGUGAUGUACGCUGAUCAACAGACCACGACGGAACCAGCAAUAAUAGUUUCAGCCUGCCUCACAGUAAUUAAUAUAUCCUGUAUCCUCCGAGGACCCCUCCCCUUAAUCUUGGCCUAUUGCAUCCAAUAAUGAUAUGUGUGUUUAUCCAAAUUUACGGCACCUUUGGCGGGGGUUCCACCCAGCUCCGCCCUCUCCACCUUCGGUACUCCAUGGGAAACCAUUCCUUUGGAAUCAAGGAAGCUUGAACAGUAUAACGAAUAAAGUUUCAUAUAUCCAUUUGAUUUCACAUGAAAUAAAAUAUUCUGUCAGAACCAAUGGUUUCACUGAAGCUCCAGGCAGCGAGCGAAGGGGUGAGAGAGGAUAACGCUUACUGUGUGUUACCAUCGCGUGCACCAUGGAUGACCAACGCGCAGCCGAGAUGAAACGGCGGACCUAAACAGGUCCUCGCUAUUUUUGCAGGUUCUCGACCAGGCCAGUUCUUUAGGCCAACCUAUCAUUCACGAGUUAAACAUACGGUGGCUGGAGAAAUGUUCUAUUCUUUUAAACAAUACCAGCUGGUUCCUCCGUUUUUAUUCCACCAAUACAAGCACCACCUUGUAACAUUUCCUAUGUUUUUUUUCCUUUCGUCUGUUUUCUCACUACAUGCGUUGCUCUUUCAUGCAUUUUUUUCCAUUCCUGUAUUCCAAAUAGGUCUACAUGAACACAAAAUGAACUAGGGGACAGAAAAAGCCAGUGAAGUUAGUUUUGAGCUUCACCAGCUACUUGCUACAUAAAGUGUGCUAUAGUCGCAGAAAAGCUAAGCUGGAUCAGACGUGGCCGAAACAAUGCCAAAGAGCUAGGUCCCUAGCUGAUGGCAACACAUCAGAUGACUAGCCUGCUUUUCUGUAAUAAUGAUAUUGAGCAAUACACUGCAUGGCUAACCUGCUUUACAAUAAUUGUCAUUUUAUAAUAUUGGUCAUCACGAGAGAUGCACAUUGCAUACACCGGCCCAUCCCUAUAAAUAGCCAAGCCUUUCAGCCAUCUUGGGCACCUCCUCUCAGGGCCUCGUCUCACCAUCAGACAUCUCGUUCCCAGUUAUAAUUUGCGAGGUUAGAUCAGGCUGCGCCAUGGCGUCCGCAACUGCUGUCAAGAUCGUCGCCACCUUCAUGCUGGUGCUGACCAUGGGCCACCUGAUGGCCGAAGCAUCACCGCAGCCUCGGCGUGUGCUUGCAGAAACGGAGCAUGCUGCGGUGUCCGGGAAUCCUGGCCUCCCAGGUGAUGCUAGCGUCAUGCAGGUCCUCGAACCCGCCCUAGUUUCUCGGCUUGCCUGCAAACCAGAGUGCACAGUCCCUUGGCCUCCUUUUGUAUGUAUCUGCUAGAUCCUCUUCCUGGCUCAACGGAACUUCAGGGAAAUGGCUGUGACGUCGGCCAAAGAAUAAAUUGGAUGAACAUAAUAUACCCCGGGUAGUGUAGCUUGGGCUUUUGUUGAGCGUCUGGUGCUAGUUGUAUUUUGUUUGCUCAUGUGGCUUUGCUUCUGGUUGCAUAUUGGCUUUCCUAUCGCUCUCUGUUGCAGCUAUGGUUUCUGCCAGGUGUGUGUUAAUGCGGUUUGUAAGCGGUGCUUGUUCCUACCUUCUGUUUUCAAUAAAAGAAGUCGGAGUCUCCCUCCGACUCUUGUUAUCAGUCAACAAAAAUGAGUUGUAUCAUAUAUAUCUGCGUCUUUUUUCUACGUAUCUUUGGGCUGCUUCAGCUGGAAGUUUAUCGUAAGUACGUGUAUCAGGAUGAUCGUUUGAAUUAAAACGAAAUGAUAAUGUGUGGCUGCUAGAAAUGGAAUGAGCAUCUUACUAUAUUACUAAUUGGAAGCCUCCACGUGAAGCCACCUAGAAAUUCUAGGUGGACGUUUUAAAAAAAACAAAACUCAUAGAAGCCUCCACCACCUAGGAAUCCUAGGUGGACACUCUAAAAAGAGACAAAUCCUAGAAAUUCUAAAAAAAGAAAAAAAUAAUAACAAUAAGAUUUUUUUGCAGUCAAUUACAUAUAUUUUUUUGAGACACCGUGCUGCUAGCUCUUGCCAUUGCGACCAGUAAAGCAAGCAGAUAGUAAGAUGACAUGCGUGUGGAUUGAUUAAAACAAAUUCAGUUAGUUGAUUCUAAAUCGUAUGUAUCCUAAAAGGAAGAUAUGUGCGUGCAUGGUCCCUAGCGAUGACAUGUAGACAUGUAUUGCAAUUUCUUUUUUAAAAAACAUGUCUAUCUCUAAACCAACAAACAGAAAAAAUAUCAAUCUAAAUCUAAAUCUCUUCCGUUCUCACACGCCUAUUAAAGAGAAGACAACCAAUCCCAUCCAUGUUCCAUAGAAUCCAUCUAAAAGCUUGCUCACUGCGGACGGCAUUUGACGGCAAAUCAAUGAAAGAUCAUCCUCUCCAAAUAGCUGGACGGCAUCACCAUCUUUAUCUCACCAACCUACAGAGCUACAACGAUGUUGUAGAGAUCAACUAGGUAACCUACCAAUCACCCUCCCCUUUUCUAUAUGCUCUAAAGAACACGUGGAGUAAUUAUAGGCCUAUAGGAGCCGACUAACCUAGAUUAAUAUGAAAAAUAUUCCAAUAUUAAAAGCAAGCAGAUAGUAAUACUUGCCUUUGACCAUUUUUCUAGAACUGUUAUUCCUAUUGAAUGUUCAAGUGCUACGGCCAGGCAUCGAAUGCCUGCACGGAACCUUCCUAUUGAAUGGUUACUCUAGAGAUCAACGCACCGCGAGACAUUUUUAUGGAAUUUGUUUGAUUCCCCUUCUACAAUUAGAUUAAUUUUUCAUGGCAUAUAUUACUACUAUUAAAUUAUUUGUUUAUUGUCGGGCCUGCUGCAUGUGUGGUAUAUAUGACUUGCUUCUCACCAUUGUUCUCAAACUAUUAUUCCUAUCGAAUCUUUCUAUCGAAAUAUAUUUUAAUUACUUGAUUGUUGUUUGUGUACCAUAACUUCUGUAUAGAAAAAUUCCAUGUUUGUAGAUAAUGUCUUUUGUAUAGAAAAAUAGCCCAAUUAGAUCCAUCACCAUCUUUUGCUUAUGUAGUUGAACAAGUUGCAAUGUUGAACAAAACUUUAAGUGAAAUUAGACCAGGAAAAGGAAUUGUGGAACAUUAAGGCAAGGGUAACCAGAUUGUGGAAUGCAACCUUACUCAGUAGUGGCGAACAAUUAAGUCUUGACAUGAUCCUUAUUGAUCAAAAGGUAUGAUAGAUGUUCACUUUGAUUGCAUUAUUGGUAUAAUUUUUGGUUUACAAAUUAUUAAUGAUGAUGCAAAAUUAGGGAACCAUGAUCCACGGUGUUAUCAAUAAGCCCUAUAUGAAAAAGUUCAAACCAUUGAUUGAAGAAGGCAAUGUGUACAUAAUUGCAAAUGUCAGAAUCACACCAGAACCACAGAAGUAUCGGCCAGUGGAAAAUGACAGGAUAGUCAACUUCUUACCCACAACUGCACUAAAAACGAUCAAAGAUACUGAAGACAUUCCAAAGUAUAGUUUUAACUUCAUGAGCACGGAUAUGCUUUCAGCAAGAAUAAAUGUGGACAUGUACCUAUUAGGUAAAACAUUACUGGCUUUUCAAUUUUUACACUUCCACUCAUUAAAUGACCAUCUAAUAAUAAUACAUAUUUAUGUUUCAUAGAUGUUAUAGGUAUCUCAGCUCACAUUGGACCGAUAGAAGAAACAAGGACAAACUUCGGAUUUACUAAAAUCCGUGAUAUUGUGCUCCUGAUCGAGUAAUUCUCUUUUCUUUUGUAGAAAACAACUACAAAACUUUCAACAUUUACAUGUAUGUUAUAGAACUUCUGUUGAACUAAAAAAUAUCUUCUACAGUGCCCCUACAAAUAAUUAAUUUCGUAGUUGGAUAUUUAAAAUAUUUAUUAUUCACUUUUAAAUUUGUGGCCAUGAAGUUAAAGUUAGAUUUUGGGGAGACAAAGUUGAGGAAGUUGAUGAUAAGACAAAAUCCCAUGUCAUUGCAAUAACAUCUACAACUGUGAGUAAAUUUGGCAGUAAGUCUUCAUUCAAUAUGAGUUAUUCAAUAUUAGUCAUUCAACAAACUAACCUCGUAAGAAAAAUAAAUAAUUGAUGUUUUAUCAGGGUAUUCUCUAUCGUCAACCAAUGCAACAAAACUUUAUGUAGAUCUACCUAUUCCUGAAACUAAGGAUGCACAUGAUAGGUGAGAAAAAUUAGAUAUUGUUUUUCUAUUUUAAUCUAUGUAGCAUGCACUCUAACAUGAUACAUUCUUUCAUAUGAUAAAAAAAUGUUAGUUCAAUUGAAAAUAUUGUCAAAGAGAUUCAUAUUGAGGACCAUCUAAAAGGGACAUUGGAAGACCAAAUGCAGUACAAUAGAAGAACUUUAGAAGAAUUAAAUUUCAUAUUAUUUGAAACAUCAAAUCAGGUAUGGAUUAGUAUGUUCAUUGUACACUAUACUAUUUAAAGACUUACAUACAUAAUGAUGGUAUUGUUCCUACUUUCAGGAUGAGGUAUUUACUAUUGAAGCAACAAUAAAUGAAAUUAAUGCAACAUAUGGUUGGUUGUCACACCCGAUUUUAAGGACAAAAUUGAGUGCAUUAAAUACAUGUGCACCAGGAUCAAGUUACACACAUCCUAUGAGUACCGUCCUUCUUUGGCACAAAGAUAACCGGUGCUCCCCAUGGUGAUGAACUAGGCCGAAUAAACUAUUUUGCUGAUAAUUCCUCUAGUUGUUGUUUCAAUUCUUUUAAUUGUUCAACCAACAUUCUAUAAGGACGUUUGGAGAUAGGUGCAGUACCAGGUAAAAGAUCAAUAGCAAAUUCAAUGUCGCGGUCAGGUGGCAUACCUGGUAAAUCGUCGGGGAACACAUCCGGAUAGUCACACACCACUUUGAUAUCUUCCAAGGAUUUUCCAGCCAACUGAUUAACUGCACAAUCUGCUGCUGAGGGUAGAGUAGCUACAAACUCCACUUUCUCUCCAUCAGGACCUGUUAGCAGAACUGUCCUCUUGGCACACUGAAUCGUUGCAUCAAAAGCGGCUAACCACCUCAUCCCCAGAAUUACAUCGAUUCCACUGGACUCAAGGACGAUAAGAUCAGCCGGAAACUCUAUACCCAUUAUUCUCAGUUUAACUUGUGGACAGAUGUAUUGAGCCUUCAUUGACCCCCCAGGUGAACUCACUAGCAUAUGACGCCUCAUGGUAUGCAUGGGUAAAUUAUGCUUUGCUACAUAAUGACUAGUGACAAAAGAAUGCGAUGCUCCAGAGUCAAAUAAAACUGAUGCGGGGGCAGAGUUGACAAAGAACAUACCAAGCACUACAUCUGGAGCCUCCUUAGCAGUCUCGGCUUCCAUGUGGUUCACCUUGCCACAAACAAAGCUUUGCUGCCCCUGAUUGCCUUGUGGGGUCUGGUUCCCAUUCCUCGGUUGCUGCAUCUGAUUCUGCCGAGGAGCACUGCUGUUCUGCACGGGGGUAGCUGGCCCACCUCUCUUAGGACAAGAGCUGGCAUAGUGACCAACCUCGCCACACUUGAAGCAGGUAGGACCCACUGGAGCAUUGGGCCUUGUUGGAGUGCCAGUAGGGGUCAUCUGGCGGUUCUGCGUAAAGCUUGGGCGCGGAGUCUGCAUAGUCUGCAUCCCUGGAUGCUGGAACUGAGGGCUAGGGCGCUGGAAUGACUGCUGAGCAGGGCGCGGAAAUGAGUGCUGCCAAAAAUUCCCACUCGGGCCCCCUGCGCGGAACGGCGUCCCUUGCUGUGGAGCAAAGCGAGGGCGGGUGUUGCUUCCUGAAGACUACUGGGAAUUGAAUUUCCUCUUCAUCUCCCCGAGCUCGUUCCUCUUGUGUUCCAGGCCAAUUGCCUUGUCUAGCAUCUUCUGGAAACUGGGGAAGGUGUGCGACAUAAGCUGAUAUUGGAGUGGUCCAAUCAACCCAUCCAAGAAUAGCUCCUGCUUCUGCUCAUCAUCAGCAACAUCUUCGGGAGCAUAUCGGGACAACUGGACAAACUUGUCCCUGUACUCUGCCACUGUCAUGUUCCCCUGCUUGAGAGCAAGGAACUCCUUCUUCUUAAGCUUCAUCAAUCCGGAAGGAAUAUGAUGACUUCUGAAGCUAGUCCUGAAUUCAUCCCAGGUGAUGCCAUUAGCAUUGGCAUGGGUGGUGGUGUAAGCAUCCCACCAAUCAGCAGCUGGCCCUUCCAGGCGUCCUGAAGCAUACAGGACCUUCUCCCUGUCAGUACAUUGGGCGAUAUCCAGCAUCUUCUCCACUGUUUUCAGCCAAUCAUCAGCAUCUAAUGGAUCCGGAGAAUGUGAAAACGUCGGGGGCUUGUGGCUCAUGAACUCCCUAUGCCUGUCCCUUGGCGGCGGCUGCUGCUGGUUGUUGUUGUUGUUAUUGUUCAGCUGAGCUUGUAAAGCUGCCACGGUGUUGGUCAGUCCGGCGAGAAGCUGAGUCUGAGCUGCUAGAAACUGCUCCAUCCCUGCAGGUGCUUGUUGGUUCUGUUGCGGAGCGGUGUUGGGAUUGCUGCUGUUGUCCCUGUGGCGUGGCACUGUGGGACGGUCAACUCCUGAUCCGGACCUGGUGUUUACCAUCUGAGCGUUAGAGACAAUGGAUUUAGAUAGAUGUGUGAAAGAAUAACUGAGAAAGAUAAAGCGACCAGAUGUAAAAGUAACACAGAUUCUGUUAGCUCCAUUUAAUUAGGUGUGGUCGUCAGAAGAAGUGUCCAUAAAUUCUGAACAAUUACCAAGUCGUAACUUAUUAAAUUUGUAAACCAACCCAACUGGAAUCAUCUCAAUCGGACUUCUGGAUCUCGAGUUACAAAAUUAACAAGCUGACAGUGUCGGUCGAUAGGUUCAGAUUCUGAGUGCUUUACUAAUUCGCAUACACCUCCCAGACAGAUACACCAAAAAUUCUGAAAAAUUUACAGAUAGUACUCCACGAAAUUCUGAAACUAACCCCACUGGUUUCAUGUCAUUUGGACUUCUGUAGCUAGAGAUAUAAAUAAAAAAGUACUGGCGUGUCAGUUAAUGUCGAGAACAGAAUUGAAUGUCGCUUAGCUUGCGUGAUGGAUAGAUUUAGACAGAUGGUAGAUCAUGAUUAAGGAAGAUUAAAUACUGAUUUAGAACAGAAAUAAAACCCAACUAAGCACUUUAUUUAUUAAGACCAGUAUCGUGUGGCAAUUGCCCCACAUACCGCACUCAUUACAAAAUCCAACUCAAACAUGUAGCACAAAACCAAUCAUCUAAGCACACUUUAACUAACACACUCGAACGACGUCUAACGAUUACAAGAAUUUAAACUAAAACACUCCUAAUUUCCUAGAGGUCUUCUGCGGCGGUGCCGGGCGAGUCGUAGCGGGGACGCUUAGGCGACGGCGACGAAGCGGGAUGAACAGCAAACUCCUGCGGCGGCGGUGCUCCCGUCGCGGCAGCCAUAUUCGCAUCCCUCUCCCACCGGAGUUCCUGAACCUCCUGUUGAAGCUCCUGGAUGUGGUUGUUUGCUUCAUUCAAUGCGGUGAGAGCUGCCGACGUGUACUUGCGGAGGAAGUCUGUAGCCAUGUCAACCCCAUCGUUAGUAGCGAUGAAGGUUCUUGCUUCCCCACUAGCUCGGUAAGGAAGGAACCGAUGGUAAGUGUGCUGCAAUCGCGGCCGUUCCUUGUGGGAGACGACCUCAAGUGCCCUCCUGGCGGCCUCGGCAAUGCCGGAUUCCAUGGUCCUCCUUAUGGUCACAUCAUGGUGAAAAGCCUUCACCUCCCAUCCUCCCUCGUGCUCCUCACGAAGGACAACCUUCACCUCCCAAAAAGUGGGAUAGCGAGGGUGGGUGAACCGGGAGCACUUGUAGAGUGGCCUCAUGCCGUACCCCAAGCGGUGACAAGUCCACCUGAGUAUGUCGGCCAUGUGCACUCCUUGGCCAUAAUCUUCCUUCACCCAUUUGAUCCAUGUCUCGGGCUCGGGAUCUGCUUCGGGCUCAUCAUCCGUCAAGUCGACGACCGGUACGGGCGUCGGGGCUGGUGCAGGAGCGGGCGCCGGUGCUGGCGACGGUGCUGGUGACGGCGUGGUCUCCUGCUCCACGGUCACGGCGUCCCCGUCAGAGUCAUCCCCCGGAUGCUGGAAGAUCUCUUCCUCUUCUUCCUCGUCCCAAGGCUCCAUGGGGGCGUACGACGGCGCGAUGCCAUGACGCGGCGGACGGGUGCUCUUGCGUGCGGUCAACCGGGUGCGAGCCAUCUAACAGAAAGAAAGAAGAAAAUUUUAGAAUAAAAUUUUGAACAAAGCUAGAUAAUAAAAUAGCAAUAAGGAUGAGACAAAUCAAGUUUAAGAAUAAUUAAGUAGAUUUAAAUUAAGAAAGGUAGGAAUGGCUACUAGAUUAUUAUAAUCCUUAAAUACGACCAUUUUCUAACUAGGCUAACGUCCUACAGUCAACACGGCUCUGGUACCACUUUUGUCACACCCGAUUUUAAGGACAAAAUCGAGUGCAUUAAAUACAUGUGCGCCAGGAUCAAGUUACACACAUGUACGACAAUAGUGAAUAGUAAAGCCAGUGCUAAAUCGAAUAAAGAGAGUAUUAACCAUUAUUACAUGACCGAAUGUCUCAAAUAAACCACAAAGUCUAAUUAUUACGCAGCGGAACUCCAAAGAUGACGACGACUCCAUAGGCAGCUGACUGAAGAAACGUACGCCUAGAACUCCUCGAAGUCGUGGAAGUACUCCUCUUCCCAAUUAACUUGGUCUGAACAGCGGUUUUGCAAGGGUGAGUACACUUAUGGUUGGUACUCAACAAGUCGUGGGAAGUAGUGUAGUGUAAGGCUAAUUCAAGGUAUGGCUAAGGCGUAAAUAGCAUUCGCUUUUAAUUAAGUUGGUCAAAUUUUAUUAGCAUUUACUAAGUAUAAGUUCAUACCACCCGAAAUUAAACAUGAACAUAAAGUAAACCACAUGUGCAUGAAAUGAUAACAAAUUAAAUCCAUCUUCCGAUAAUAUUAUCAUGUGAGGGUCCAGGCCGCUCUUAACCGUGAGCACGGCUGAUUGAUCAGUUUAACACUCUGCAGAGGUGGCACAUCUUUACCCACAAGUCGCGUAAAAGUUCAAAAGAACUUUGGACCCAACCAUGCGGUGUUUGCAAGGCACCAUACCACACUUCCGAGGUGUGAUUGCAUAGGGACGCUACGAGGCCUUUACAAAGAUUCAUUAAUCAGUGGUAACCCGCUAAGGUUUCGGUGUCUGGCGUGCACCACCCAUCCCAGGUAAAAUGCAACGACUCAGUCCCCCCCCUUGAAUCAUCACGAGUAAGGUCACCCCAGACUAAGGUUUCUAAUUAAUCAGCCAAGACCAGAGCUAUUUAGUCUUGUGGUAGCACUGUUUUCCUGGGUGGUCGCUCCAUGUUCUGAUUAACAAAUAAUGAUCUUGUCUUAAUGAAAGGUAUAACAGAAAUAAGGCAAGAUUAAGCAUUGUUUUUAGUUAAACCACCAUGUACCAAGUAAGCACUAAGCAUGAGCUACCCAACAUAAAGUAAACCGGUUGGUCAAGGCAAAGGUAAAACAAUCUAGGCCAACCUUAAUUGGGACCCAUCAAUUUAAUCUUAAUAUGUGCACAGCAUAAAUGUUGAGUACGAGAAAGUAAAGGUGUAUAGGACAAAAAGGUAGUGAUCAAGGACACGACUUGCCUUCUUGGCCUUGCUCCUGCUGUUCGUACUCCUCGAAGGCUUGAUCGGCAACUCCCUCGAACUGCGGGGCGUCUACACGCAUCACACGAGCACAUACAAGCAAACAUGGGCAAAAGUAAGAAAACAGUAUACCAAACAUAGUCAAACAGAGAAAACAAGCUUGAAAAGAUGAUCUACGCUUUAAAACGAACACGCGGAUAUAAAGAACGCGAAAAACGGAGUUAAGAUGCAAAAGAUAUGAUUAAAACAAAAUCCAGGGACUUUUCUGUAAGAAAAACAAAACUUUUAGGGCCUAUCCGCGAAAACCGAGGGCUUAUACGUAAUUAUGCGUAUAAACCGAGGGUCUGAUGCGUAAAAACAUCAAACCCGGACGGCGGGUUGAUUUCUGGAAAGGUCAAGGGUUAAACCGAAAAAUGCGAGGGCAGAUCUGUAAAUACUUUCAACGCGAUCUGGACCGCGGGUUGAUUUGCGAAAAAGGCGGGGGCUAAAGUGCAAAAACUGCACGGCGCGGCUCGGUUGACCGGUACGCGAUCUUGAUUGACUCGCGUCCGGCCGUCGGAUUAAGAUCCGACGGUCGCGGUGAUCCGCGACAUCGCGGCGGCGGCGGCGAGCGGCGGCGAGCGGCGGCAAGCGGCGGCGGGUCGCCGGAGUUAGGCAAAAUAGCGCCACGAGGCACGGUUUAACGCGCGGGUUGCACCAAAAAAGAGAGGGGAACACGUCGAUCCCGUUUUGGGGGUUCUUGUCGACGGGGGCUCACCGGCGACGGCGAACGGCGGCGAGGAAGAGGCGGCGGCGCUAGGAGCUCGGGCGGCUAGGGUUUCGGGGAGCUGCGGCGCUGGUUUUGGGCGGAGGAGACUGGGAGGAGGCGGCGGCUUUUAUAGGGCUUGGAGAUAGAGCCGGCGCGGGUUCAAAUCCCCCGGAGGAGUCGGAGCGGAUGGAGUCCGGGGCGGAGACGGCGCGCGGCGGUUGCGGAGUUCUGACCGGAUUCGGCCGGAGGUGGGAGACGAUGGGUGGGGUCCACCCGUCAGUGGCGGAGGGGAGCGGUAGACGGGCCGGCGCGACCGUGGGCUGGCGCGCGCUCGUGGGCUGCGGGGAGCGGGAGAGAAGCGGCGAGCGGGCGCUGGCGGAGCAGGCCGAGCGGAGGUAGAGCUGGGCCGCGGAGAAAAAGGAGGAGGCCGGCGGGCUGCUUCGCAGGCCGGUAAGGAUGAGGCGGCCGGGCCGAAGAAGAAAAAGAAAAGGAGGGACAAGGAGCUUUCGGCCGAGGGAAAAGAAGAAGAAAAAGAAAAGGAAGAAGAAAAGGGAAAAGGUUUUGGAAUUUGAAUUUAAAUCUGAAAUUCAAAAUUUGAUUCAAACUCAAGCAACCAAAAAUUAUGCUCCAGCAUGAAUGCACAAAUAAUUCCUAUGAUGAAUUAAUUGAAUUAAAGAAAAUGAAUUUAAAUGCCUAGAAAUUAAAUAACACCCUAAUUUGAGCAAAUUUUAAUGAAUUUGAAUUAUUGAAAUUUUGGGUGUUACAUUGGUACUACAUCUCAUGUAGUAGAGGCGAUUGUAAGAAGCAACUUGAAAAGAAGUUUGAUCACUACUAUUGCAAUAAAUGUGACAAGAGAGCCGAACCUAAAGCCCAGUAAAUUAUUUAGUAGUUUACAAUCUUAUUAUAAUACUUCUAUUUCUAAUAGGAGAAUAAUAUUUUCAGAUUCAAAUUAAGCUUCAAAUAAGUGAUCCAACAACAAGUGCAACUUGUGUACUUUUGACAAGGAAGCAGAAAUGAUAAUUAAUGAAUGAGCAGAUUCGAUGAUCACCUCAGUUGAUCAUGAUAAUAAGUAGCUACCAAAAUCAAUUCAGGAAAUAUGUGAAGAAACAUUGAUUUCUCAAUUCAGAUUGACCGAGUACAACUUGACAAGUUUUAGACCUGAUUAUACUGUUUCAAAGAUAUUUUUUCCAAAAGAAAAGGGCAGUUCAAGAAUUGGUAUGGAAAGUGUAAAAAAGGUAACACUUUAUUAUUAAUUUUUUAUUGCACUUUUUUCUUUUGAAUCCGUAAUACUUAAUAAUUUUACUAUAUCAAUGAAACAAAUUCUAACCUAAAUUUAUUUUCUUUUUUAUUAUUUGUAGGAAGUAGAAGACAACUCAGACAAAUGCUACACGAUAACUACCGAGAAUGAAGAGGUAGACACUGAUGACUCUUUUACCGAGAAAGUAACAUUCGUAGAAGAAGCCAUAAGGACUGGGGAAAGAUUGGCUAGAAAAGUAUACUCACUUCCAUGUCAGUGUUCAUUCUAUUUACAAUACAUGCAAAAAAAAUAUUAUUCAUGCAAAAUUGCAGGUCUACUAAGCAUUAAAGGAAUAGCGGAUAGUGCAAUAUGUAAUCUGAGCAGCAUGCAUUACAAAGUGCUCUACUGCAAUUAAAUUAAAAAACAUGAUAUAUGUUGAAUUCUUAGACUUUAUUAUUAUACUUUUCUACGUGACAAUUCACAAUUUUUUAGAAAAAAGAAGAUCCCAGAAGAAGUGACCAUGAAAAAAGGUCUAUGACCAGCAAUAAGAAAAAAUGCAAGCAUAGAAACAAAUCCGUAGAAAACAUAGAAAAUAAGGUACUCCAUAAACAAAAGUAUUCUCUUAUAUUUUUAUUAAAUAUUUUUUUAACACUUGACAAGUUCUUUUUUAGGAUCAAUAUAUCAGCAAUUCAGAUGUCAUUGGAGAUGAAACCUUAGUUCAUCCAAAAGGUCAAAAAAAAACAUCUGAAGAAAGGUGUUUGGCUGAAAAGGAAAAGCAAAAAAGUGGUAAUGCAGACAAACACAUGCAGAAAAAUAUAAAAACAUGUCAUAGGGAGGCAGACCAAUCUUGCAAGGAGGUAUAGACGAAACGUGAUACACGACCUGCCUACCUUGUCGUGGAUACCCCAAGAAGAUGUCAUAGAGGUGCAGACCAAGCUAGCAAGGAGGUCGAAACGUGAUACACGGCCUGCCUACCUUGCCGUGGAUAUUAGCCCUGAGAUCAUUCUACUGUUCAAGGAAUAACACUCAAUGCUGCUGCUGCUGCUGACCUGGCUCCAUAAAGUUAUACUCCUCUAGGUGCUUGCACUAACUUUAUCUGAAGUAUUAUUCUCUCUGCACUGUAUAUAUGGUUAUGGAGUUUGCUGGAGUAUCCGGGGCGAAGAACCUACAUAAUACGUCUUGGAACUAAUUGACAUUGAUUCACAGACAAACUCUACAAGGUGCUGUUCUUGCCAUUUUAGAGCAUCCAAAGGACUAUAAAUAACAUAGUUUACCAUAUACCAUAUACCAUAUACCAUAAUAUGUUAGCUAAAAUAAGAGCAUACACAUGUUGCAGGAGUCCAAAAGCACCGGUUGAGGACCAGGUACAUUGAAUUACUAGAAAAAGACAGGGGACAAGGUUUAGGUAACCACAUGAAACAUUUGAAUUUAUUGUACUAUGAACACUUAGUUACCAUGCCAGGAGCACAUAGUUAACACUAACAUUUAGCCACUUUAGAUCAUCCCGAAUCACCAAUGACCCUCAAUAGUGACAAAUUUUGGUUUAAAUGCCAUCACCAAUGAUCCUCAAUAGUGACGUAUUUAGGUUUAAAUCCCGUCACUAAUAACCCUCAAUAGUGACCUGUUUUGGUUUAAAUCUCAUUACCACUGAUCCUCAAUAGUGAUGUGUUUUAGCAAAACAUGUUAUCAAUGACUUGUCAUUGGUGACGUGUUAAAACGCGUUAUCUCAAUGGCAAAUCAUUGGUGACGUGUUAUCUCAAUGUUAUCAAUGUUCUAUUCUUUUCAACAAUACCAGCUCGUUCCUCCGUUUUUAUUCCACCAAUACAAGCACCACCUUGUAACAUUUCCUAUGUUUUUUUUCCUUUUGUCUGUUUUCUCACUACAUGCGUUGCUCUUUCAUGCAUUUUUUUCCAUUCCUGUAUUCCAAAUAGGUCUACAUGAACACAAAAUGAACUAGGGGACAGAAAAAGCCAGUGAAGCCAAUUUUGAGCUUCACCAGCUACUUGCUACAUAAAGUGUGCUAUAGUGACGUGUUUUAGCAAAACAUGUUAUCAAUGACUUGUCAUUGGUGACGUGUUAAAACGCGUUAUCUCACUGGCAAAUCAUUGGUGACGUGUUUUAAAAAAACAUGUCACCGUGAGAGUCAUUGGUGAAGGGUAAUUAAAAUGCGUCACUAAUGUUGUAGCAUUAGUUAUGAUAAUUUAGUAACGCAAAAAUCUACCAUCAGUAUUGAGCUUUAGAGCCAUCGCUAAUGUGGGUUUCUUACAUAGUGAUGCAAGCUCUACAAGGUGCUGUUGCUGCCAUUUUAAAGCAUCCCAUGACUACAUGUUAAUAACAUAGUUUACCAUAUAUCAUAAAAAUAUUAGUUACAAUAAGCACAUACGCAUGUGGAAGAGUCCGAAUGCACCGGUUGAGGACUAAACACAUUGAAUUACUAGAACCAAAUGUAUGUUUAGAACAAAGACAGGGGUCAAGGUUUGGGUAACCGCAUUAAAAACAUUGGAUUUUACUGUACAUGAACACUUAGUUACCAUUACCAUGCCUUGAGCACCUAGUUACAACAAACAUUAAUUUAGCCACUUUAGAGCUUCCAGAAUCGCUAUAAAUAAUAUACCUACGCCGUACCAUGAAAACAUCAAGAAGAGAGACGGAUACAUGGACCACCAUCAAGCGAGUAGUGACAGCACGCACAAGAAUACCCGGAACCUGUUAGCUUGUCUGUAGUGAUCUGUUUUCUUCCCCAUAAAAUCCAUGAGUAUUGCCACAAAUAAUGAAAGAGGCUGACCAAGCUAGCAAGGAGGUAGAGCAAACGUGAUACACGGCCUGCCAAGAUUGCCCUGGAUACGCCAAUAAGAGCGACAGAUACAUGGAUCACACCAAUAUGGUGAAACGUAUAUUCAUCACACAAGCAAAGCUGGUCAGUUUAUCCAUGGUCAAAUUGUGGUCUUUGUUUUCACUUGAGAGCUAAUUGAGGCACUAUAAUAUGGGCAGGCCUAUCUUCAACAGACAUGACAGCUACAGGGAACUUGACAUAAUUUGCUGGGCCGCCUGUGCACAAUUAUUUGUUUUAUUGUCCUUGCAUAGAAUGCUAAAAUACUCUUUACAAAAUGUUGGAUCUAAUAUUUGAAAUAUAGAGUAGUAAUCAUAUAUUGAUCAACAACUUGAAAUUAUCUGUACAUUCUCGGUGAAGCUGUUGAACUAAUUUUUGCAAAUUAUUAAUUCAUCUCAUUACGUAAAGAAAAAAGUAAGUGGAUAAGAUAUUUCGUGGACCACAUCACUGCAAACAUGUCAUGGAGAGACAGACCAAGGAGGCAGGACGUGAUACACGACUUACCCUAGGUUGCCGUGGAACCGCCAAGAAGAGAUACAGAUACAUGGACCACACCAUCUUGGGAGUAGUGACAGCAUAUAUGCAGAAGAAUACCCCGUGCCUAUUUGCAUGCAUGUCUCAAGUGAUCUGUUUUCUUCAGAAAAUACAUGAGCAUUGCCAGAAAGAAUGGCAAGAGACAAACAUGUCAUAGAGACUUGCAUGUCUUGCCUUGGAUACGCCAAGAAGAGGGACACAUACAUGGAUAACACAAAUCUAGUGACACGUAUAUUCAUCACAAAGGCAAAUCUGAUAAUUUUAUCCAUGGAGCAGACCAAGGAGAAAUUGAUGACGGACAUGUGAUCUCUGUAUUCAGUUGAAAGCUAAUUGAGCUACACUAAUAUGAGCAGGACUAUAUUCAAGAGACUUGUUGAGAGCUACAGGGAACUUGUAAUAAUUUGCUGGGCGGCCUGCGCACAAUGAUUUGUUAUACAUAGUUGAAAUAUUUCAAGAAUUUAUCAACCUCAUACUCUGAAACCCUUGGUGCAAUGUACUCUGCUUUCCGAGGUAGACUGUUCACGUAAAAUGAGGUCAUGCGUAAGACGGAAUCGGAUUGGAUUCACAGGGAAUCAGAUUUGGAUAGCACCUUUUAGCAGGUUUUUAGUCAAAUGCAAAUUCGGAUCCACAUGUGGUUGAAUGCGAGUUCAAAAUUCUACUUGGAUAUCCAUUUAAUUUAGGUGAUAGCAAUUAGCACAAAAUGUUGGAUGAACAAAAUCAUAGUUAGACAUACAAUUACAUGUAUGGUUAAAGUAUAAUACAAUACACCAAGAUUAUUCCUUGAAAAUAUUUCUUAAAAAUAUUAUAAUAAAUGAAUAAAUAUAAUUGUGGCCACCAACAAAUAGUCGGUGGUCGCUAAGUUGGAGCCAUUUCUGGUUACUAAUGCGGCCUUCUCCUCGACCAGCGACGACAGCUGAGCUUGUUCCUUCUGACACUAAAUCAUCAGAGUCUUCCCUCCACUACUAUAGAAUGCACCUUUAGCACCAAUUGGGAAAUCCCCUUCAGUAUUGGAUGCUGCAACCAGUGCUAUAUAUCAAAAUGGAGACUAAAAGCCUCGGUCUUGGGUACCGGUUGCAUAACGCAUUACUAAAGGAGGCAAAAGAGAAAUGUAACAAAAAAAAUAUUUUGAAUUCCAAGAAUGUUUCACUAUUCAAGAUGACUAGCUGAGAGUCAACAGACAAGAUACUAGGAAUGUGGGUGCUUGAAUGCAUUUGUACAGAGGUCAUACUAUUUACAAACUCUUCUAUGUUUCCAUAUGACUACCUACUUCAAUGUCACGCGAGCCAUUCAGCUGGACACAUGGCACACUAGCUUGCAUGUCGAAUCCAUGAUUAAUUAUUUGCACUUGUGAUCUCUUACCAGUAUUUGUCCAGACUAGAAACGUGCAACACAUUUUUAGGAUAUGGACACGCAUAUAUUUGGACUAGUAUACAGGUCACCUUUGGAUGCGUACAAGGAUGACCGGGAGGGACUAAUGGAUACAAGGAAGGGACCAUCAGGAUUAAUAUUGACAUAUGCCACAUGACAAUCUUCAUUGUCAUGCAAUCCCUAUCAACAAUCAUGGAAUCCCUAGUGUACUAAUCCCUGGAGGGUUGUGUGGAAAUUUAUUUUACCUUGCGGUGAAAAUCUCAUGAGCAGUCAUUAGUUAAGCUGACUAGCUGAGAUAUAAUAGACAAGCUAGUAAGAUUGGGAGCAUCAAUGCAUCCAUACAGGGUCACAAUAUCCUUUCCAUUCACUUUUAUAUAUAACCCUACGAAUACAAGUCCAACGAAAUGCGGGCCUUUCGAUCAAGAUAAAUUAAAUGGCCCACUUGUAUUUCUAAUCCAGGAUUAACUAUGCCCUCUGUUCAUCUCUUGCAAGCACGUGCAACACAUUUUCACGAUAUGGACAUGCAUGGAGGUUAUUAUACUGUUUGGACAAACUCUGAUGUGCCAUGACCUAAAUGCUUAGGGCCUGUUUGGUUUGAGUUGCUUAUUAUAAGCAACUUAAAGUUGCUUAAAGUUGCUUAUUUGAAGUUGCUUAUUUUUAGUCUAAACUGUUUGGAUACCCUUGCUUAUGAGCAUUGAAUGAGUUGGACAUUGUCAAAUUUGCCCCAUGUGUUGCUACCCCUCCAAUUUGCCUCCCCACCCUUCUUCUUCCUGCACACGUCCGAUCCCGGGGGCCGACGGCGGGCAGGGAGCAGCAGCAGCUGGCCAGGGCGGCGGUGGGGCGGGAGCGGCGGCGCACACCAGCACGCGCUCGCACGCCAGGUGCUAGGGCGCGGCGAGGCAGUCGUCGUAGCCCACCGGGAGCGGGUGCUCGGGCGCGAGGCGGUACUCGACGGAGAUGCCGAGCGUCGGGCGCGCGGCGGCGAGCGCGUUGAGGAAGCGAUGGUAGUGCGGCGACGUCGCGGACUCCGCCACGAAGCCGCCGCCGUGGACGUACACCACCACGGGCAGCUUCGUCUUGCCGUCGGCGGCCGCGGCCGCGGCCUGGGGUGGCAGGUAGAGGCGGACGGAGCAGGAGCCGAGGUCGACGUCCCUGGAGUCGACGCCCGUGGCGGCGUCCAGGCUGGGCCCGACCGGCGGCGGCACGAGCGGGCGCUCGAUGCGGCCGCUCUUGUAAAUCCGACGGGUCUGUGCGGAGGCGGGCGGCGGGCGGGAGCGGCGGGUGGGAGCGGCGGCAGGUGGUGCGGAGGCCGGCGGCGGCGGGUGGCGCGGAGGAAGGGGAGCUGGUGAGUGGUGACAGGGGAGGGGGGGAGAGAGAGGGGGGGUAGGGUGCAUUGAAUGAGGGCAGGAGGUGUAAAGUGCACCUUUUAGUCCCCAUGAGCAACCAUAAGCAGCCCAAGAGUUGCUUAUUUGCUUAUAAUAAGCAACCUCAUAAGCAAGAGUGAUUGGUUUCAUAAGCAACUUAUUUGCUUAUUUUAAGUUGCUUAUGCAUAAGCAUGUGAAACCAAGCAGGUCCUUAACCUAUGGUUGUGGCACCACACAGUACAUAGUAUUUAAUAAUGCUAUUCGUUUGGUAUGUGCACAAGGGCACGCAUGAAAUGUCUGGCCCACGGUAAACAAGUACGGACGCUGCAAAUAAUCUACUCUGCUCGUCCAGUCCCUAGCCUAUAAAUAGAUGCCAUGCUAGCUCUUGUUGUGCUCACAAUUAAUCCUGACUACACACGAGCUUCUCUCCCUGGCCAAGACACAAUCAUAGUAUGAUGAAGAACAUGGCACUAGCCGGCAAUGGUAUGAAGAACUUAAUCCUCGCUGUUCUCUUACUGUGUCUAGUUAUAGGGCAGAUACAAGUGGAAGCUAAGAGCUGCUGCCCAUCCAUUACUGCAAGAAAUAUCUACAAUGCCUGCCGUAUCACGGGUACAUCCCGUCCAACGUGUGCAAAACUGUCAGGCUGCAAAAUUAUCAGCGGGGACAAAUGCAAGCCCCCUAACGACCACCUCACCCUUGACCCGGACACUGGUAAAUAAUAAAUUUAUCUCACUUGAUUUCUUCGUGUUUUGAGUCGUUAAUGUAUUUUCCAUCUGAUGAAACGUAUUGGUUUUGCAUUGAAGAGGAAGUUAAUGUGCUUAACUUCUGCAAGUUGGGGUGUGCGUCGUCUGUGUGCAACAACAUCAACGCUGGUAAGCACCUUUUGCUCAGACGGAGAAAACAAUAAUCAUUAAUUAGCGGCAGCUAGAAUCCUAUAAUCUAAUAUAUUUAUAUAUAUAUAUAAUUUUAUCAGCUCUGGGAAAUGAAGAGGCGAACGAUGCCGUUGAGAGUUGCGACCAAGCCUGCUCUAGCUUCUGCAACGUGCACGUUGGCGCUGCCACCGUGGUUGCUUAAGCAAAUGCAUCCAACUGGAUCGUCCUUGUGCUAAAUAAUUGGAUAUCGUAUCCACUUAAAGCUGCCUUGUGUAGUACGUUUUUGUUUGUGUCUCUCUUUAUAUUCCAAUAAGGUCGGUGAUCUUGAUGCCACACACUCAGACGUGUGUUCAUCUCCAGAUACUACUCCAUGCUACCUGCCCUUUGUGUUUUGUUCAAUAACUGGGUAUCAUAUCCCAGCCAGUGUGCCAUCUGUUUUGUGUUUAUUUCCUUCUAGUUUCAAAGGGGUUAUCAUGAUGUUACCUUCUUUCGAUAUGGUGCUUUGCAUGACUACUGUUGUAUGGUACCAUCUUGUUGGCCAAUAAAUACAUCUUAUCCUAUGACCCUUUGCUAUGACCCUUUGCAAAUAAGUACAAGAUUGUUAAAUACUCGGUAUAAAUUGACUACUGCUGUGAGUUCCCUUUCAGCUUAUCGUAGGCAUACAUUAUUGCUAGCACGGUGAAGACAACCAACACGAAUGGUCAAGUAAACGUACCGGUACUUUUGUAUACCAACACCCUUGCUUAAAUGUACCGGUGUUACUCCCCACUAGCACAUAUAUUCUUAUAUGCUAGCCGGCUUGAAAAUUAACCGAUUAAAAUAAUUAUUUCAAGACAGAAAUAACUUAUCGGCUUCUCGAAGCAUGUGUAAUGUGAAUUCAAGGACUUGAUGGAAGUUGAAUCGCUUAAUCUAGAUUGCUUUCAGGAUUUUGGGUAACUAAAUUUAACAUUUGCACAUACAAAUGUUAAUGUACAAAUAUUAAAUAUAGUUACCCAAGCAGAAUAUGAAGAUACUCUAUAGUAUAUAUAUACUAUAUAAAUCUAGUUAACAUUUAGUCUAAAUGUUAAAUCUAGUUACCUAAAAUCCUGAAAGCAAAAUGUAUAAAUAUAUAUCUUUUAAGGAAUCCCAAAGCAAGAGUUCAGUGGCAUUCUAUAGUCCCAUGCUGCUAGUUUGAGUUGGUCGAAGCCAACUUAAAUAGGAGAGCUCUCUCACUUCUCUAAAUACGUAACUGAAGGAGAGAAGGGGGCUUGGUUACACAACGCACGCACGCACGCAUAUUUGCGUUCUUUUCGCGUAACCAACCGCGUGACUUGAAACUUGCGACGUAGCGUGCUGCCAAGUCAAGUUGAUAUAACCUUUUUGCCGUAGGCGUGUAAUCUUUUGACAACGGUCAUUGGAGGUGAUAAGCACGCAGUCAAUACCUUAAUCCUGAGUUAAUAGGGCGGUUACUACUGCCAAUUAGUGGGGCAAUUUUGUAGGGGAAACGGUUAGCAGAGGGCUACCAUCUUCUCUAUAAGAAGUUCUGGAGACGUCCAGGAACACACAUGUACAUGUGAGAGACCCACGAAUUCCUUCCCAUCUCCCUUUUCCAUCUGGUGAAGUGUGCUAUGGUACUGAGCUGCUGGAUCUCGCCGGCUCUUCUCCUUGGCGUGCACCGAGGAGGAGGGUGAGCGGUAUCUCCGAGCUAUUGCCGUCAGGAAGCCUGCACGAGGGACAACAAUAAAGUUUUUGGGUAGCGCAACUACGCAACCGCUCGAUUCGAUCGACUAUGUUCUGCGCUGCCUCAUCUUCGAUCUGCACUGCAACACGUAACCCUGCAGCAAGUCUACACAAGGACGGAGCACUAAUCUGUAAGUCCUAGAUUGGUUUCUUACAGAGUUGUAGGUUACACAAGAUCUAGAAUUGUUACAUACUUAUUAUUAUGGGUUACAUGAUGUUUUGUACGGUUACGUCUAUUUUGCAUAUGCUAUUUUUACAUACCGUUUACAUGCAUAUGUAAUGGUUACGCCUAGCUAUUUGAAUCUAGAAUUGGGUUACAUAGCAGUAGCAAUGACUUACGUAAUAUGCCUCAUGUUUAUAUCUGGUAGAAUUUAACACGUAUCUCCAACAUAUUUUGAGGCAGUAUAAAUUUCAAUUCCUUUUGCUGCUCUGUUAAAUCCCGUCUUUCGUGUGGCCCAACACUCUAGUAUGCAUGUAGCACCAAGCUUGUUUGAGCCGCUUUGUGCUCUGAUUUUGCUGUCUGUAUCAGGUUGGACUGUUUCUUUGUCUUGCGAUGUAUAGCUUCAUAUCUUCUAGAGGUUAGACAGCAAAACCCGCGUUCUCUUAAGGCAACAACUCGAAGAAUCUGCAGCGCUCCUGAUAUAUCACUGCUGCAGAAACAAUCUUUAGUACUGAUUUCCAACCCCCUUUAGUAUCGGUUUGGCAAUCAGUACCACUACGUCGGUACUAAAGGGAGUUCUCUAGAAUCGGGUCAAAUAACUGGUACUAAAAGUGCUCCUCUACUACCAGUUGGUAACACCAAUAGGUAGUAACUUUUUUUGCACCCAAAAAAUUAAAGAAAAACAGCCGGGAGGCUCGCGCACACACGCAUCAUGAGUAAUAUGCGCGUGCAUGGUUUGUGGGAUUCCAACCCACGACCAAGCUAUAAGCACGUAGUUACAAAAAAAUUAAACACUUAGACAUUUUAGAGCAUCCCAAAUAACUACAAAUUCUUUAGUUUACCAUAUACCAUAAAAUAUUAGUUAAAAUAAGAGCAUACGCACGUCGGAAGAGUCCCAAUGCACCGGUUGAGGAUCAGACCAGGCACUUUGAAUGCACAUGCCAUAAGAUAAUUCUGCAGGACGAUGAUUGCAAUAAUGGACCAUCGAGAAGAUAGGGGCGAUGGGGUUGCCUCAUCAAUUAUGACUUGGCGCAACAAGACCAGCAAAGUCUUUAUCGACAGGGGUGGAUCAAGGGGUGGGGCGGGUAGAGCUCCAAUCUUCCUACCGCCGCUCGAACAAUGGAGCCCCCCUUAGCCCCUCCAUAAAUUUUUAGGUAGAAGAAAAAAGAAGAGAAGGGAAGGAAGGGGAAGAAUAGGGAGCCCCUCCUAAGUAGGUCGCCAUCGUGCUUCCCAACGCAUGAUCGCCGCACCGCAUCCAUUCCUCUACAAGCCUCCAGCGUCUCUCCUGCCGCUACCUCUGAACCAUGUGCAGCUGCAGACCCAACUAGUGUCUUGUCACCCAUCUCAAUCCCAACAGAGCGGCGGCUCCUGCCAGCACAAAUCUCCCUCCGCCUGUUCUUCACGAUCGAUGGCCACCACAAGCAUAAACCUCGCCUUCGCAUCCACGCAAAAGGGUCGCCGGUGUGCCUUCUCGCAUCGCUUCUCAGCCUCCUUCACUUGCGGCUGGCCAAGAACCGUGCCACCACCUCGGGUGCGCGCCACCGCUCCAGGGCCGCUACCCCAUGCGUGCGGCCGCCGCCGGCCACCACGCGUGUGCAACCGUGUCGCACCGCUUCCCUGCUCUGUGCCACCACUGCUACUGCACCACCAGCUCCACCACCUUGGGCUGGUCGCCAGGGUGACUGAUUGGUGGAUUAUUACUACAAAUAAGUUCCUUAUUAUCUGCAACUACUAUUAACUCAGGGAUACAUGCGUCUUUUGCUUCUCCUGUUAAUAUGUCCUAAAAUAUCUAGAAUGCCUUAUAUUUCUGGACGGAGGAAGUAUUUGAAUAAAAUGAACCAAUUUUAAAAAAUGUGUUGUACACUACUACAGAAAGAACUAUCAGUGUCAAACCCAAAAAUGUCGUCACUGCCAGUUUUGGGCAUCGUUGGUGAAAGGUUGGCGGUGAUGGGUAUCCCCUUCAACAACGGCACUAGAGCUAACAGUGAUUGACAUUAGAAAACGAAAAAGGGGACCCACCUAGCCACCCCUGCAACCCGGCUGGCCGUGCCUCCCGUCAUCCCCACCACCUCGCCUCCCCCGUGACCCCCCGCCGGCGCCCUUGCGCCUAGCCCCCUCGCCUGCCUGGCCGGCCACCCUCGUCACGAGAGAGAGGGGUGCAUGUUGUAUAAUUGCGUGAAUUUUUAAUGUUUAAUUUCAUGUAAGUUUCAUAUAAUAAAUUGUACAAGUUUUAUUGUAUAUAUGAAUUCCAUAUAUAUAUAUUUAUAAUUUAAUGUAUGGUUUCAUGUGUAUAUUUCAAUAAUGUGUAUAUUUAGUAGAUAGCCGAUUUUCUUUUUCUACAAGACAAGGGUUGAUGUAUAAUUACGUGUAUAUGUUUAUUGUACGGGCAAUUAGGACAAGUUUUGUAUAAAUUUCUUUUAUUUCAUGGUUGUUGUAUGGUUUCAUGUAUAUACAUUUAUUGUACUACUUGAGACAAUUUUUAAUUUAAUGUUUCUAUGGUUACAUGUGUGUAUAACUAAUUGUAUUAUUAGUUAAGAUGGGAGCCAAAGAGGAUGAAAGGUAUAUAAUGGAGCAGAUUAUUGCUGGCGGUAGUGGCUCAAACGUUGCAAGAACCUACAUCAAGGGUGAGGGUAGCUAGGUGGACAUGUACCUCAACAUGUCCAGUGAUGGCAAUGACGAUGAGGAGCACGAGCAUGACGUUUAUGAUAGUGCGGAACAAGACAUUGCAGAAUUGGAAGGUUCUAAUGAGGUGUGCUUCAUGUUGAUGAUCUGGUUGGCUUUUUUUCUUUGGUCACACCUUAGUUACCAUAGAACUUCGUCUCGGGAGAAGAUUGGAGGUGCUAUGGUGAUUGGAAUUUUAUUGCCUCCAAAUAUGAUUUCCAUCGAAUCAUAUCCCUUGUAUUUAUCUUCUUUUUAUUUGUGAGAGCAUCUUCUUUAUGCUUGCAAAACAAUUCAAGUGCACAUACUACACCUAGGGUGAUGAUUAGGAGUAGAAACAAUUGCCAACAAACGAACACCACAUCCUAAGAUUCUUAACUUGUGGUAUAAUUAGUCUAGUAAAAAGAAAGAUAAAAACCUAAUGGGUGUACGUGAGUGCAAUGCGUAUAUGCAUAUGAGUGGAAGGCAUAUAAGCAAAGAUAAUAUUUACACAUAGAUCUAAGCACCAUGUUUACAACUAAGUUGCUGAAUUUCUCCAUAGCUAUAGAGAUUAAUGAACCAAGGUCAAAACACCAUGUCUAUCCCAAGAUCAGUAAUUCUUUAUAGCACAAGAAAAAGAAAGCGCAUUGCAAAGUUUAUAAACCAACCAAUGCAGCAUGAAAACAAGAUGAAUAGCUAGCAAGGUUUAUUAAACUGAAUGAUGACGGUCUGCAAGCAAGUUUGAACACCAUCUUUACACAAGAUUGCAAAUGGAAAAUUCCCAUAUGAAGAACUAACAUGGAUAUGAAAUCAUUCAUCAUAAAGCGUAAAGAACAACCAAGCCAACCAUAUGCAAAGCAUGAAUGGAAUGCAAUGAAGGUGCAAGAGAACAUUUUUGGAUGAACCCAUUAUGAUGAUGGCAAAAUGCGCCGUGCCCCCCAGCCCCCGCGGUGAGAUCCCGCCGCUCGCUGCCGCCAGACCCUAUUAGGCCUCCACCGGCAGGUCCACCCACGGUCCCGCGCGACGUGGCAGCCUCUUGGCUCUCGGCGCUCGCGGCACGCCAGUGCUGGCGCAGCCCCACCAGGCGACUACCCUCCCCCCAUAAGGCCUCGGCCCCUCCCCAGCGCCGCCCCCCAACACCAGGACUGCCUGCUGCCCCCCACCGUGAGGUAAUCGAAAUCGACUGCUCAAUCUCUCAAUCUGUUGAUAUGAUGCACACGGUUGCAAAAAUAGAUGUGUCAAAAUAGAUGUUUUGCCAAUUGCUAUAGAUGCAUACGGUUGACAUGAAGUCAAAAAUGACAUUUGGUUCCUUGUAGGCAGUCAAAAAUGAAGAAGUCAAAAAAUAUUGAUCUGAAAUCAAUGUGGGAAAGGGCUAUGAAGACACGCAGGUAGAUUCCCUUGUGAACUUUUUAUGUCGUUCGUCUAAAUAAUUUUUUGCAAUGGGCAUACCCUACUCUGAAAUCCUGGGUCCGCCACUGAUGAUGAUGGUCUAAAAAUAAACCAAGCCUAGAUUAAUUAGCCACAACUGAAAUUAAGCAAAGGUUAAUGUCAUUGACCCUAGCUCUAUCCUAGCUUUUACCAAAGUUCCGGCACAUAUAGUGGUUGGGCCCACUCUCUCUGCUUCCCUCUCUGCUGCAUGCACGCACACGAGCAACGGGAGGCCCGACGAAGCCCAGAAGGGUUCGGCCGAACCAGUAUGAGCGCCGCUCCCUCCCAGCCUUCGCGCAGAUGCUCCUCCAACGUUCCUUGACCCCUCCCUCAGCGUCCCGUUGGGUUUAACAUUGCAGGAGAGGAGUCCCUUUUUUAAAAUCUCAACCACCUCCUCUCCCCAUUCACUCCACUCUCAUCUCCAUCAAACUCACCAAGAUCCGCACCGGAAAUCCCUGCUUACCACCAUGGCUGGCAAAGCCCUCAUCCCUUUCACCAACUUGGGCUUGACCACUGAUCUCGAUGGGGAAAUCACUCUGGCAAAUAUGCGUGUAACACUGCCCCCUUUGCCGAGGGUUAAAGCCAAAACACUCAGCAAAGUGGAUAGUACCCCCCUUUUUACCCGUUUUGUCAUGUAUAACGGACCCCUCUCAAUUCACAAUAGACAUCAUCAUAGGCAUUUAUAAUAAACAAUCACAGGCAUAAUUCACAAUCACCAUUACAAGCAUUAUUCAUAAAUAUCACAGACAUAAUCCAAAGUAAGCAUGAAACAAGCCAUAAAUCCAAGUUCAAGUCACAACUAAGUUUCAUCCAAGUUCAAGUCACAAAUGCAAUGUCUAAAUCCAUGGAGGCCAAGGAGACCACUGCGACAAAUCUUGGUCUUCAUUAUUCGAAGCCGCCGAUUGAUUCUGCACAUAGGAUAGGACAUUCUGAGCUAACAUCUAAAGUUGUCAAAAUUAAAGUAUUCAAUCUUAAGCACAAUGUGUCAAAUGACUCACAGGAGUAGUUGUGGGUGGCUGAGGCGGAGGGAACAGCAUCGAUGGCGGUGGCAAAGAUUGACCCAUGCUCGAAGCAAAAUUCUGCAUGUACUGGAACAUCUGGUCCAUCCUCAUCCGAUUUUCUUCCUCCAUCCUCUGCCGCUCGGCCUCUAACCUCCGCUGAACCAUCUGCUCCAUCCUCGCCGCCAUCUCCUCUUGUUGCUUCCUUGCUGCUUCCACCUGGGCCUACAAUAUUUCAUUGCAAUGUUACAAUGCAAAGCUAAAGUAUAGCAACCAACGAACAAUGAAUGGAAGAGAAAGAACCUGGAGAGCCUCCAUCUGGAACUGUCCAAUGGUUGGUCGUAGCCGUAUCGCCGGGCUCGAGUCCGUGCUCCUUGCUUGGAUCUGGGAGAGAGUGGCAGUAGAGGCCGUGUUGAUUACGCCGUCGCCAAUCCAAUAUCGGCCAUGCUUCUUGCCUCCUCCCACCCUCAUCACGAUUUCUCCAUCAAUAUCCUCAGAGCUUGAAUCGAAGUCUGGCCCGUGAACCUCCCUUGCCAUCACUGUAUAUUCCUUUGCCGAGUGCCCGAGAUAAAGCACUCGGCAAAUAGAAAACACUCGGCAACUUUACUGUUUCCCGUAGUGUCGCUAUUUUUGCAGGUUCUCGACCAGGCCAGUUCUUUGGGCCAACCUAUCAUUCACGACUUAAACAUACGGUGGCUGUAGAAAUGUUCUAUUCUUUUCAACAAUACCAGCUGGUUCCUCCGUUUUUAUUCCACCAAUACAAGCACCACCUUGUAACAUUUCCUAUGUUUUUUUUUCCUUUCGUCUGUUUUCUACAUGCGUUGCUCUUUCAUGCAUUUUUUUCCAUUCCUGUAUUCCAAAUAGGUCUACAUGAACACAAAAUGAACUAGGGGACAGAAAAAGCCAGUGAAGCCAAUUUUGAGCUUCACCAGCUACUUGCUACAUAAAGUGUGCUAUAGUGACGUGUUUUAGCAAAACAUGUUAUCAAUGACUUGACAUUGGUGACGUGUUAAAACGCGUUAUCUCAAUGGCAAAUCAUUGGUGACGUGUUUUAAAAAAACAUGUCACCGUGAGAGUCAUUGGUGAAGGGUAAUUAUAAUGCGUCACUAAUGUUGUAGCAUUAGUUAUGAUAAUUUAGUAACGCAAAAAUCUACCAUCAGUAUUGAGCUUUAGAGCCAUCGCUAAUGUGGGUUUCUUACAUAGUGAUGCAAGCUCUACAAGGUGCUGUUGCUGCCAUUUUAAAGCAUCCCAUGACUACAUGUUAAUAACAUAGUUUACCAUAUAUCAUAAAAAUAUUAGUUACAAUAAGCACAUACGCAUGUGGAAGAGUCCGAAUGCACCGGUUGAGGACUAAACACAUUGAAUUACUAGAACCAAAUGUGUGUUUAGAACAAAGACAGGGGUCAAGGUUUGGGUAACCGCAUUAAAAACAUUGGAUUUUACUGUACAUGAACACUUAGUUACCAUUACCAUGCCUUGAGCACCUAGUUACAACAAACAUUAAUUUAGCCACUUUAGAGCUUCCAGAAUCGCUAUAAAUAAUAUACCUACGCCGUACCAUGAAAACAUCAAGAAGAGAGACGGAUACAUGGACCACCAUCAAGCGAGUAGUGACAGCACGCACAAGAAUACCCGGAACCUGUUAGCUUGUCUGUAGUGAUCUGUUUUCUUCCCCAUAAAAUCCAUGAGUAUUGCCACAAAUAAUGAAAGAGGCUGACCAAGCUAGCAAGGAGGUAGAGCAAACGUGAUACACGGCCUGCCAAGAUUGCCCUGGAUACGCCAAUAAGAGCGACAGAUACAUGGAUCACACCAAUAUGGUGAAACGUAUAUUCAUCACACAAGCAAAGCUGGUCAGUUUAUCCAUGGUCAAAUUGUGGUCUUUGUUUUCACUUGAGAGCUAAUUGAGGCACUAUAAUAUGGGCAGGCCUAUCUUCAACAGACAUGACAGCUACAGGGAACUUGACAUAAUUUGCUGGGCCGCCUGUGCACAAUUAUUUGUUUUAUUGUCCUUGCAUAGAAUGCUAAAAUACUCUUUACAAAAUGUUGGAUCUAAUAUUUGAAAUAUAGAGUAGUAAUCAUAUAUUGAUCAACAACUUGAAAUUAUCUGUACAUUCUCGGUGAAGCUGUUGAACUAAUUUUUGCAAAUUAUUAAUUCAUCUCAUUACGUAAAGAAAAAAGUAAGUGGAUAAGAUAUUUCGUGGACCACAUCACUGCAAACAUGUCAUGGAGAGACAGACCAAGGAGGCAGGACGUGAUACACGACUUACCCUAGGUUGCCGUGGAACCGCCAAGAAGAGAUACAGAUACAUGGACCACACCAUCUUGGGAGUAGUGACAGCAUAUAUGCAGAAGAAUACCCCGUGCCUAUUUGCAUGCAUGUCUCAAGUGAUCUGUUUUCUUCAGAAAAUACAUGAGCAUUGCCAGAAAGAAUGGCAAGAGACAAACAUGUCAUAGAGACUUGCAUGUCUUGCCUUGGAUACGCCAAGAAGAGGGACACAUACAUGGAUAACACAAAUCUAGUGACACGUAUAUUCAUCACAAAGGCAAAUCUGAUAAUUUUAUCCAUGGAGCAGACCAAGGAGAAAUUGAUGACGGACAUGUGAUCUCUGUAUUCAGUUGAAAGCUAAUUGAGCUACACUAAUAUGAGCAGGACUAUAUUCAAGAGACUUGUUGAGAGCUACAGGGAACUUGUAAUAAUUUGCUGGGCGGCCUGCGCACAAUGAUUUGUUAUACAUAGUUGAAAUAUUUCAAGAAUUUAUCAACCUCAUACUCUGAAACCCUUGGUGCAAUGUACUCUGCUUUCCGAGGUAGACUGUUCACGUAAAAUGAGGUCAUGCGUAAGACGGAAUCGGAUUGGAUUCACAGGGAAUCAGAUUUGGAUAGCACCUUUUAGCAGGUUUUUAGUCAAAUGCAAAUUCGGAUCCACAUGUGGUUGAAUGCGAGUUCAAAAUUCUACUUGGAUAUCCAUUUAAUUUAGGUGAUAGCAAUUAGCACAAAAUGUUGGAUGAACAAAAUCAUAGUUAGACAUACAAUUACAUGUAUGGUUAAAGUAUAAUACAAUACACCAAGAUUAUUCCUUGAAAAUAUUUCUUAAAAAUAUUAUAAUAAAUGAAUAAAUAUAAUUGUGGCCACCAACAAAUAGUCGGUGGUCGCUAAGUUGGAGCCAUUUCUGGUUACUAAUGCGGCCUUCUCCUCGACCAGCGACGACAGCUGAGCUUGUUCCUUCUGACACUAAAUCAUCAGAGUCUUCCCUCCACUACUAUAGAAUGCACCUUUAGCACCAAUUGGGAAAUCCCCUUCAGUAUUGGAUGCUGCAACCAGUGCUAUAUAUCAAAAUGGAGACUAAAAGCCUCGGUCUUGGGUACCGGUUGCAUAACGCAUUACUAAAGGAGGCAAAAGAGAAAUGUAACAAAAAAAAUAUUUUGAAUUCCAAGAAUGUUUCACUAUUCAAGAUGACUAGCUGAGAGUCAACAGACAAGAUACUAGGAAUGUGGGUGCUUGAAUGCAUUUGUACAGAGGUCAUACUAUUUACAAACUCUUCUAUGUUUCCAUAUGACUACCUACUUCAAUGUCACGCGAGCCAUUCAGCUGGACACAUGGCACACUAGCUUGCAUGUCGAAUCCAUGAUUAAUUAUUUCCACUUGUGAUCUCUUACCAGUAUUUGUCCAGACUAGAAACGUGCAACACAUUUUUAGGAUAUGGACACGCAUAUAUUUGGACUAGUAUACAGGUCACCUUUGGAUGCGUACAAGGAUGACCGGGAGGGACUAGAAAUGGUCUAGUUUUGAUUGGACUACAAAACUUUUUGUACAGUGAAUAGAGAAUAUAUAUUAUUGUUGGAAUACGAGGUAGGCUACACUAUCGCAAUUCUGAUAUUCUACCGCGUAUAACCAAGAAGAACUGUCGUAUAAGGAUCACGGGAUUACCACUCGACGCACUACUGGUGCGGAAGAUGUAGAUAUGCGUCGAUGCAGUGAAGACGAUCACGUAGUCGUAUGUAGUCGAUCAACGUAGUCGUACAUAGUCGAUCACGUCCAGCAGCUCCUCAGCAGCUCGUCCACGUGCAGCAAGAUCGCCUCCGGUACCGCGGCUCGUCGUUGGCUUGUCGUGGCUCGUCGACGGCUCGUCGGCGGCUCGUCCAAGUGCUGCAGGCGCAACACCUCCAAGGUAUCCACACGUGCAGGGAGGAAGCGUCGCAAGCCGGACUGCUAGAUCCACGAGUUGCAACAGGCGAGGGCGUGGGAGGCGCGGCAGGUGUGUUUCGCCAAAAAGGUGUAAACCCUAGGGCGCCCCCACCCCUCUAUUUAUAGAGGUUCCUGACGGGCCUCUGGAUCCGAGGCCCAUUAGUACUUCUAAACCUAAUCCAACUCGGAUCAGAUCCGAAUUGGGCUUCCAGCCCCUUAAGUGUGUGACCCUAUAAGUUCGGAUACGUAUAGACAUGGCCCGAGUACUCCUACUCGGCCCAAUAGUCGGUAGCGGCCUCUAGCAAGACGUGCCAACUCCUAUACGCACACGAAGAUCAUAUCAGACGAACCAUCACAACAUAAUAUACAUGCUAUUCCCUUUGCCUCACGAUAUUUGGUCUAGCUUCAAGCCGACCGCUCUUUCUCAGUCCUGUGAUUCGGAAUCCCUUUGUAGGUUAACUCUUAACCGUACGUAGCAUGGCCAUGCAUUUUCGGAUCUGAUCACUCGAGGGGCCCAGAGAUAUCACUCUCAAUCAGAGAGGGGCAAAUCCCAUCUUGAUUGACCAUGUCUCAUAGCAUGCUUCUUGACAAACCUAAAAACUACCUUUAUAACUUCCCUGUUACGGCGUAGUGUUUGAUAGCUCCUAAGUAGGUCGAUCCACAUCUAGAAUACAUGCGACAAUUUCAGGUCUAAGGACAAAGCGUAUAUGUUGUUUAAAGAGAGAACUACUUCUCGUGUUGGGUCAGUCCCAGCACAUGUCUCCACAUGUGUCCACAUUAUUAGUUCAACAUCUCCAUGUCCAUGACUUGUGAAACAUAGUCAUCAACUAAUACAUGUGCUAGUCUAAUAUUCAUGUGUGUCCUCACAUGAACUCCGACUAGGGACAACUUUAGAAUAACCAUACAAGUAAAGAGUUUCACAUACAAUUCACAUAAUUGCAAAUCAAUUCAAGUAGCCUUCAAUGGAUAUUCAAUGAACACAACAUACAAAUCAUGGAUACAAAUGGAAUAUCAUCAUCUCUAUGAUUGCCUCUAGGGCAUACCUCCAACAGUCUCCCACUUGCACUAGAGUCAAUCUAGAAGGUACCUAAUACCCAUAGCUCUUACAUGCGCAUCAUGCUUAGCCUGCGGGAGUGGUUUUGUCAACGGAUCAGAAAUGUUCAGAUCCGUGUGUAUUUUGCAUAUCUUGAUCUCACCCCGGUUAACGAAGUCUCGAAUGAGAUGAAAUCGCCGCAUUACAUGUUUGUUCUUCUGGUGGUUCCUUGGCUCCUUUGCUUGCGCAAUUGCCCCAUUGUUAUCACAGUAGAGAUUCAAUGGGCUGGACCCAUUCGGGAACACACCAAGCUCAAUGAGGAAAUUCCUUAUCCAAACACCUUCCUUCGCGGCUUCCGAAGCCGCGAUGUACUCGGCUUCUGUCGUAGAAUCGGCCACCGUCUCCUGCUUGGAACUCUUCCAACUAACAGCACCACCAUUUAGCGUGAACACAAAUCCUGUUUGUGACUUUGAAUCAUCUCUGUCGGUUUGGAAACUAGCAUCGGUGUAACCUGUUACAACGAGCUCCUCCUCACCUCCAUAGACGAGGAAUAUAUCUUUAGUCCUUCUCAAGUACUUAAGAAUGUUUUUCACCGCUGUUCAGUGACUCUCACCUGGAUCAGAUUGGUGUCUGCUUGUCAUACUUAGCACAUAUGAAACAUCUGGGCGAGUACUUAUCAUUGCAUACAUGAUAGAUCCAAUAGCCGAGGCAUAUGACACUCUACUCAUGUGAUCCCGCUCAUCAGCAGUCGAAGGACACUGAGUCUUGCUGAGAUGUAUGCCAUGUGACAUAGGCAAGAACCCUUCCAUGCUGAACCGCUUCAACACUUUGUCAAUGUAAGUAUCUUGGCUUAAACCUAUAAGCCUUCUCGAUCUAUCUCUAUAGAUCUUAAUGCCCAGAAUAUAUGCCGCUUCCCCUAAGUCCUUCAUCGAAAAACUAUUUUUCAGUGAAGUCUUUAUGGACUCAAGCAUAGGAAUGUUAUUUCCAAUCAGUAAUAUGUCAUCCACAUAUAAGAUUAGAAAUACUACAGAGCUCCCACUAACCUUCUUGUAAACACAAGACUCUUCUUCGUUCUUGGUGAAGUCAAACCCUUUGACCACUUCAUCAAAACGAAUGUUCCAACUCCUAGAUGCUUGCUUCAAUCAAUAAAUGGAUCUCUGAAGCUUGCAUACCUUUCCAGCAUUUUUCGGAUCGACAAAACCCUUGGACUGUAUCAUAUACACGUCCUCAGUUAGGUUUCCAUUCAGGAAAGCUGUCUUGACAUCCAUCUGCCAUAUCUCAUAAUCGAAAUAUGCAGCCAAACUUGAUUGUCUCCCAUGGACUCUAUUUCGGAUUGCAUGGCAUUCUGCCAUUUUUCGGAGUCUGGGUCCAUCAUUGCUUCUGCAUAUGUCACAGGCUCAUCAUUGUCCAACAAUAAUAUUUCCUGCAUUUCGCGGAGCCUUGCCGACCUUCGUGGUUGUGGCGGUGCUUCUCUUGCCAUGGGUAUCUCAACUUGUUCUGCUACGUUAGCAUCACUCAUUGAUUCUUGCCCGAUCGGCUCAUCUUGAACUUCUUCAAGAUGCACUGUCUUUCCACUCUUUUCUCCUUUGAGAAACUCUUUCUCUAGGAAAACCCCGUUCCGAGCGACAAACACUUUGCCUUCUGAUCAGUUGUAAAAAUAAUAUCCCAAAGUUUCCUUUGGAUAUCCCACGAAAAUGCACUUAUCCGACUUGGGUGCGAUCUUGUCCGACUGAAGUCGCUUGACAAACACAUCACAUCCCCAAAUCUUUAGAAAAGACAAACUAGGAACCUUUCCAGUCCAUAUCUCAUAUGGUGUCUUAACUACGGAUUUAGAUGGUACCCUAUUAAGUGUGAAAGCUGCUGUUUCUAGAGCGUAUCCCCAAAAUGACAACGGUAGGUCCGACUGGCUCAUCAUUGAUCGAACCAUGUCUAACAAAGAUCGAUUACGUCGCUCGGACACACCGUUUCUCUGAGGUGAUCCAGGCGGCGUAAGUUGUGGAACAAUUCCGCAACUCUUUAGAUGAUUGCUAAACUUGUGGCUCAAAUACUCGCCUCCACGAUCAGAUUGUAAGGCCUUAAUUUUCUUGACACGCUAAUUUUCAACUUCAUUCUGAAAAUCCUUGAACUUUUCAAAGGUUUCAGACUUGUGCCUCAUCAAGUAGACAUAGCCAUAUCUACUAAAAUCAUCAGUGAAAGAUAUGAAGUAUUGGAAUCCUCCUCUAGCCGUCGUGCUCAUUGGUCCGCAUACAUCACUAUGUACGAGUUCCAACAAGUCUACUGCUCUCUCAGGAAAUCCUGUGAAAGACGUCUUGGUCAUCUUGCCUAGCAAGCAAGCCUCACAUGUCUCGUAUGAUUCAAAAUCAAACGAAGUUAGAAGUCCAUCAGAAUGGAGCUUCUUCAUGCGUUUUUCACUUAUAUGACCCAAACGACAAUGCCACAAGUAGGUAGGACUCAAAUCAUUAGGCCGAGGCCUUUUAGCACUUACAUUACAGACAGGUGAACCAUCAAGAUUUAAAACAAAUAAUCCAUUCACAAUGGGUGCAAAAGCCAUAAACAUAUUAUUCUUAGAGAUCACACAACCAUUGUUUUCACUCGCAAAUGAAUAACCAUCCUUCAUCAAGCAUGAAGGAGACAAAAUGUUUCGACUUAAACUAGGAACAAAAUAACAAUUAUUCAACUCCAUAAUAAAUGCUGACGGGAGGUGGAGUUGCAUCGUCCCGACGGUCAACGCAGCAACUCUUGCAUUAUUGCCCACGCGGAAAUCAACUUCUCCUCUUUCCACGCUUCUACUUCUUAUCAUUCCCUGCAUCGAAUUGCAAAUAUGAGCAACCGAUCCGGUAUCAAAUACCCAAGAAUUAAUAAUUGUAUCAGCGAGAAAUAUGUUGUCUAUGACAUUAACAACAAGCGUACCUGAGGUAGAAGUACUCUUACUUCCUCCAUUCUUCAACGAAGCUAGGUACUGCUUGCAGUUUCUCUUCCAGUGACCAAGUUCAUGACAGUAAAAGCACUCUUUGUCUGGAGCAGGUCCAGGUCCAGCUUUAACCUUGGGCGCUCGCUGGGUUUGGCUUGGAAAUUCCAGCCUUGCCCUUCUUCUUCCAAGAAUUGCCCUUCUUCUUAAAGCUAGGCUUGUUCUGUAUAGCCAUCACAUGGCUAGUACAAGCGCUUUUCUUGAUGUCUACCUCUGCUGUCUUGAGCAUACCACACAGUUCAUUCAAACCCUUCUCCGUCCCAUGCAUAUGGUAGUUCGAGAUGAAGUUCCCAUAGCUAGGCGGAAGAGAUGAAAGAAUGAAGUCAGUGGCCAACUCUUUGCCCAUUGGGAAGCCCAGCUUCUCCAAUCGCUGAGUGUAACCAACCAUGUUGAUUACAUGUGGUCCUACUGCUGCGUCUUCUGCUAGCUUGCACUCCAGAAAAGCUUUGGACACAUUGAACCUUUCAGUCCUAGCCUGUGUCUGGAACAUGUCCUUGAGCGCCACGAUCAUAUCGUGUGCCUCAUGAUUUGUUUCGAACUGCAUCUGCAGCUCGGGUUCCAUGCAAGCAAGCAUAAGGCAGCUUACCUCAAGAUUAGCAUCAAAUGCCUUCUUGUAAGCAGCCUUAACGGCAGCAGAUGCAUCAUCAGCAGGUACUGGUGGUAGUGGGGUAUCUAGAACAUCUUCCUUUUUAUCGGCCCUGAGAACAAUUCUCAGGUUACGGAUCCAAUCCGAGUAGUUUGUUCCAUUCAACUUGUCCUUCUCAAGGACCGAGCGCAAAGCAAACGAUGUGGUGGUGUUGCUAGGUGCCAUUUAAUCUACAACAAAAGUAAUGCAAAAUACACUAAGACAAACGUAUCCAUGAUAGAGCAAAUUACAUUAAACUAUUUUAACAGAAUCUACUCCCACUAAAAUCAAUAUCCCUCUAUUGAAACUUAGUGAUUCAGGAUCCACAACUAACAAGUCUACUAGUGAGCUUUAGCAUCACCGCUAGCAAACGAGGUAGAUCGGUAAGCAACUUUUGCUAAUCAUAUCACAUAUGACUCCUGUUGUUGGGUGACAUCUCCAUGUCUCGGCGCCCAACCAUUAUGCCCCAAGGUCCUUAACCGUUAAGAUGACCUCGUUAAGCAAACCAACCCUUAUGCGUGUAAGUGUCCGACACAAACCCGUCUAGUCAAGGAAAACUAGUGGCACCCUAAUUUCAUAGACCCACCACUAAUUGUACAAGACAUGGGACGGUGCAAGUUUUAGUUGGGAGGGCAUACUAACUUAAAUUUUUUGUGAGGGAUCGUUCUACUUCUAACAUCACAGCAUGCAGAAAGUAAAACAUAAACAGAAUAGCAUUCACACAGCUGUGACACAGUAUGGCCCGUUUUUAUAUGGUGAUCUCCAUCUCCAUAGAACCUGUUCACCAUGGUGAUCUCCAUCUCCAUGUUCCAUGUGCGCCAUCCUCCUGGUGAGGAGUCCUCCAAGAACUAGAACAUGCUAUUACACCUAAUAGCUAGUAAAGAAUCUAGUAAUGAAGAUUACAUAGUUGCUUGGAUCAUCACAGAUUGGUACGCAGACCAUUAAAUACAAUAAAGUGACAACACAUAUGGCUCCUGCCGUGUUGCCGUACGCGCGACACGCAGGUCACGAAUGAGUUACACACAUGCAUCACAUACACAAGGGGGCCAUACUGAUCACAAGAUACAUACAUACAUCCUGCAAAACAGAGUUAGGCGUCCUAACGUUCCAAACUUCGAAGGCCCGAAACUCCAUCUUCCAAGCCGAAUUUGGGAAAUCUAAUUUUGCCGAAAACGGCAAAGCGGUUGAAUUUCAUGUGUAACUUUUUCUGUAGAUCAAUUUUCAUAUAAAAUUCGCCCCGAUCCGAGAUCGUACCGAAAAGUUACGGCUGAUUUACCGAAGCAUACGCAUACGGCAAAAAUUCCGACCCCGGCAGUAGAUCCCAUCUACUAUUGCACAUCUAAUGCGCCUGGCGUAUGAUCCUGGAUUUCGAUUCGACCAAUCAUAUUGAUCUUCGCUCACUGCAACUGGAAUUACGUGUAUCACUUAACUCGUCGGCGGCUCGUCGGCGGCUCAUCCAAGUGCUGCAGGCCCAACACCUCCAAGGUAUCCACACGUGCAGGGAGGAAGCGUCGCAAACCGGACUGCUAGAUCCGCGAGUUGCAAUAGGCGAGGGCGUGGGAGGCGCCGCAGGUGUGUUUCGCCAAAAAGAUGUAAACCCUAGGGCGCCCCCACCCCUCUAUUUAUAGAGGUUCCUGACGGGCCUCUGGAUCCGAGGCCCAUUAGUACUUCUAAACCUAAUCCAACUCGGAUCAGAUCCGAAUUGGGCUUCCAGCCCCUUAAGUGUGUGACCCUAUGGGUUCGGAUACGUAUAGACAUGGCCCGAGUACUCCUACUCGGCCCAAUAGUCGGUAGCGGCCUCUAGCAAGACGUGCCAACUCCUAUACACACACGAAGAUCAUAUCAGAUGAACCAUCACAACAUAAUAUACAUGCUAUUCCCUUUGCCUCACGAUAUUUGGUCUAGCUUCAAGCCGACCGCUCUUUCUCAAUCCUGUGAUUCGGAAUCCCUUUGUAGGUUAACUCUUAACCGUACGUAGCAUGGCCAUGCAUUUUCGGAUCCGAUCACUCGAGGGGCCCAGAGAUAUCACUCUCAAUCAGAGAGGGGCAAAUCCCAUCUUGAUUGACCAUGUCUCAUAGCAUGCUUCUUGACAAACCCGAAAACUACCUUUAUAACUACCCUGUUACGGCGUAGCAUUUGAUAGCCCCUAAGUAGGUCGAUCCACAUCUAGAAUACAUGCGACAAUCUCAGGUCUAAGGACAAAGCGUAUAUGUUGUUUAAAGAGAGAACUACUUCUCGUGUUGGGUCAGUCCCAGCACAUGUCUCCACAUGUGUCCACAUUAUUAGUUCAACAUCUCCAUGUCCAUGACUUGUGAAACAUAGUCAUCAACUAAUACAUGUGCUAGUCUAAUAUUCAUGUGUGUCCUCACAUGAACUCCGACUAGGGACAACUUUAGAAUAACCAUACAAGUAAAGAGUUUCACAUACAAUUCACAUAAUUGCAAAUCAAUUCAAGUAGCCUUCAAUGGAUAUUCAAUGAACACAACAUACAAAUCAUGGAUACAAAUGGAAUAUCAUCAUCUCUAUGAUUGCCUCUAGGGCAUACCUCCAACAAUUAUUUCAUGUAAAUUUUUGACAAUUUUUUAAAAUUGUUUGAUAUUUUUUAAAUUUUUUUUAAAAUAACUUUGCCGAGUGUCCUAUUGUAGACACUCGGCAAAGCAGCCUUCACCGAGUGUUACCCCUGGGACACUCGGCGAAUUAAUGCCCGGCCGCUCAAGAAUAUGUGCCCGGCCCCCUCACUCUCCCGGCCCCCCUCACUCUCACUCCCCUCACUCCCUCCUCUCUCCCUCCUCUCUCCCUCUCGCCGCCGCCCGAAACCCCCGCCGCCGCCCGCCGCCCGGCAUGCCGCCCAGCGCCCCCCGCCGCCGCCCGGCGCUCCCGAAUCCGCCGCCGCCCGCCCGGCGCCCGGCCCCCGGAUCCGCCGCCGCCGGCCGCCCGGCGCCCCCGGAUUCGCCGCCGCCCGCCCGGCCCCCGGCCCCCGGAUCAGCCGCCGCCCGCCGCCCGGCGCACGGCGCCCCCGGAUCCGCCGCCGCCUGCCCGGCGCCCGGCCCCUGGCCCCCUGAUCCGCCGCCGCCCGCCCGGAUCCGCCGCCGCCCGCCCGGCGCCCGGCCCCCGGCCCCCGGAUCCACCGCCGCCCCCCCGGCCCCCGGAUCCGCCGCCCGCCCGUCCCCUCCACCGGAUCCGCCGGCGCCGGGGCCUGAAGAGAAGAGAAGAGGAGAGGAUGGUGGCGGCGGCGGCCGCGGCGGCGGAGCAGGUGGCAGAGCAUGCAUGAUUUUUUUUUAUUUUUUCAAUAAUUGUUCGCCAAGUGUUUUCUGGGCACUCGGCAAAGUCUUUGCCGAGUGCCCGACACAAAACACUCGGCGAACCAGUGUUUGCCGUCAAGAUUUUUGCCGUGUGUCGUUUGCCGAGUGUUACACUCGGCAAACGCUUUGUCGAGUGUUUUUGGGGUUUCGCGGAGUGACCCUGGCACUCGGCAUCACGCAUGUUUCCCUUAGUGAACUUGAAAUUAUCUGUACAUUCUCGGUGAAGCUGUUGAACUAAUUUUUGCAAAUUAUUAAUUCAUCUCAUUACGCAAAGAAAAAAGUAAGUGGAUAAGAUAUUUCGUGGACCACAUCACUGCAAACAUGUCAUGGAGAGACAGACCAAGGAGGCAGGACGUGAUACACGACUUACCCUAGGUUGCCGUGGAACCGCCAAGAAGAGAUACAGAUACAUGGACCACACCAUCUUGGGAGUAGUGACAGCAUAUAUGCAGAAGAAUACCCCGUGCCUAUUUGCAUGCAUGUCUCAAGUGAUCUGUUUUCUUCAGAAAAUACAUGAGCAUUGCCAGAAAGAAUGGCAAGAGACAAACAUGUCAUAGAGACUUGCAUGUCUUGCCUUGGAUACGCCAAGAAGAGGGACACAUACAUGGAUAACACAAAUCUAGUGACACGUAUAUUCAUCACAAAGGCAAAUCUGAUAAUUUUAUCCAUGGAGCAGACCAAGGAGAAAUUGAUGACGGACAUGUGAUCUCUGUAUUCAGUUGAAAGCUAAUUGAGCUACACUAAUAUGAGCAGGACUAUAUUCAAGAGACUUGUUGAGAGCUACAGGGAACUUGUAAUAAUUUGCUGGGCGGCCUGCGCACAAUGAUUUGUUAUACAUAGUUGAAAUAUUUCAAGAAUUUAUCAACCUCAUACUCUGAAACCCUUGGUGCAAUGUACUCUGCUUUCCGAGGUAGACUGUUCACGUAAAAUGAGGUCAUGCGUAAGACGGAAUCGGAUUGGAUUCACAGGGAAUCAGAUUUGGAUAGCACCUUUUAGCAGGUUUUUAGUCAAAUGCAAAUUCGGAUCCACAUGUGGUUGAAUGCGAGUUCAAAAUUCUACUUGGAUAUCCAUUUAAUUUAGGUGAUAGCAAUUAGCACAAAAUGUUGGAUGAACAAAAUCAUAGUUAGACAUACAAUUACAUGUAUGGUUAAAGUAUAAUACAAUACACCAAGAUUAUUCCUUGAAAAUAUUUCUUAAAAAUAUUAUAAUAAAUGAAUAAAUAUAAUUGUGGCCACCAACAAAUAGUCGGUGGUCGCUAAGUUGGAGCCAUUUCUGGUUACUAAUGCGGCCUUCUCCUCGACCAGCGACGACAGCUGAGCUUGUUCCUUCUGACACUAAAUCAUCAGAGUCUUCCCUCCACUACUAUAGAAUGCACCUUUAGCACCAAUUGGGAAAUCCCCUUCAGUAUUGGAUGCUGCAACCAGUGCUAUAUAUCAAAAUGGAGACUAAAAGCCUCGGUCUUGGGUACCGGUUGCAUAACGCAUUACUAAAGGAGGCAAAAGAGAAAUGUAACAAAAAAAAUAUUUUGAAUUCCAAGAAUGUUUCACUAUUCAAGAUGACUAGCUGAGAGUCAACAGACAAGAUACUAGGAAUGUGGGUGCUUGAAUGCAUUUGUACAGAGGUCAUACUAUUUACAAACUCUUCUAUGUUUCCAUAUGACUACCUACUUCAAUGUCACGCGAGCCAUUCAGCUGGACACAUGGCACACUAGCUUGCAUGUCGAAUCCAUGAUUAAUUAUUUGCACUUGUGAUCUCUUACCAGUAUUUGUCCAGACUAGAAACGUGCAACACAUUUUUAGGAUAUGGACACGCAUAUAUUUGGACUAGUAUACAGGUCACCUUUGGAUGCGUACAAGGAUGACCGGGAGGGACUAAUGGAUACAAGGAAGGGACCAUCAGGAUUAAUAUUGACAUAUGCCACAUGACAAUCUUCAUUGUCAUGCAAUCCCUAUCAACAAUCAUGGAAUCCCUAGUGUACUAAUCCCUGGAGGGUUGUGUGGAAAUUUAUUUUACCUUGCGGUGAAAAUCUCAUGAGCAGUCAUUAGUUAAGCUGACUAGCUGAGAUAUAAUAGACAAGCUAGUAAGAUUGGGAGCAUCAAUGCAUCCAUACAGGGUCACAAUAUCCUUUCCAUUCACUUUUAUAUAUAACCCUACGAAUACAAGUCCAACGAAAUGCGGGCCUUUCGAUCAAGAUAAAUUAAAUGGCCCACUUGUAUUUCUAAUCCAGGAUUAACUAUGCCCUCUGUUCAUCUCUUGCAAGCACGUGCAACACAUUUUCACGAUAUGGACAUGCAUGGAGGUUAUUAUACUGUUUGGACAAACUCUGAUGUGCCAUGACCUAAAUGCUUAGGGCCUGUUUGGUUUGAGUUGCUUAUUAUAAGCAACUUAAAGUUGCUUAAAGUUGCUUAUUUGAAGUUGCUUAUUUUUAGUCUAAACUGUUUGGAUACCCUUGCUUAUGAGCAUUGAAUGAGUUGGACAUUGUCAAAUUUGCCCCAUGUGUUGCUACCCCUCCAAUUUGCCUCCCCACCCUUCUUCUUCCUGCACACGUCCGAUCCCGGGGGCCGACGGCGGGCAGGGAGCAGCAGCAGCUGGCCAGGGCGGCGGUGGGGCGGGAGCGGCGGCGCACACCAGCACGCGCUCGCACGCCAGGUGCUAGGGCGCGGCGAGGCAGUCGUCGUAGCCCACCGGGAGCGGGUGCUCGGGCGCGAGGCGGUACUCGACGGAGAUGCCGAGCGUCGGGCGCGCGGCGGCGAGCGCGUUGAGGAAGCGAUGGUAGUGCGGCGACGUCGCGGACUCCGCCACGAAGCCGCCGCCGUGGACGUACACCACCACGGGCAGCUUCGUCUUGCCGUCGGCGGCCGCGGCCGCGGCCUGGGGUGGCAGGUAGAGGCGGACGGAGCAGGAGCCGAGGUCGACGUCCCUGGAGUCGACGCCCGUGGCGGCGUCCAGGCUAGGCCCGACCGGCGGCGGCACGAGCGGGCGCUCGAUGCGGCCGCUCUUGUAAAUCCGACGGGUCUGUGCGGAGGCGGGCGGCGGGCGGGAGCGGCGGGUGGGAGCGGCGGCAGGUGGUGCGGAGGCCGGCGGCGGCGGGUGGCGCGGAGGAAGGGGAGCUGGUGAGUGGUGACAGGGGAGGGGGGGAGAGAGAGGGGGGGGUAGGGUGCAUUGAAUGAGGGCAGGAGGUGUAAAGUGCACCUUUUAGUCCCCAUGAGCAACCAUAAGCAGCCCAAGAGUUGCUUAUUUGCUUAUAAUAAGCAACCUCAUAAGCAAGAGUGAUUGGUUUCAUAAGCAACUUAUUUGCUUAUUUUAAGUUGCUUAUGCAUAAGCAUGUGAAACCAAGCAGGUCCUUAACCUAUGGUUGUGGCACCACACAGUACAUAGUAUUUAAUAAUGCUAUUCGUUUGGUAUGUGCACAAGGGCACGCAUGAAAUGUCUGGCCCACGGUAAACAAGUACGGACGCUGCAAAUAAUCUACUCUGCUCGUCCAGUCCCUAGCCUAUAAAUAGAUGCCAUGCUAGCUCUUGUUGUGCUCACAAUUAAUCCUGACUACACACGAGCUUCUCUCCCUGGCCAAGACACAAUCAUAGUAUGAUGAAGAACAUGGCACUAGCCGGCAAUGGUAUGAAGAACUUAAUCCUCGCUGUUCUCUUACUGUGUCUAGUUAUAGGGCAGAUACAAGUGGAAGCUAAGAGCUGCUGCCCAUCCAUUACUGCAAGAAAUAUCUACAAUGCCUGCCGUAUCACGGGUACAUCCCGUCCAACGUGUGCAAAACUGUCAGGCUGCAAAAUUAUCAGCGGGGACAAAUGCAAGCCCCCUAACGACCACCUCACCCUUGACCCGGACACUGGUAAAUAAUAAAUUUAUCUCACUUGAUUUCUUCGUGUUUUGAGUCGUUAAUGUAUUUUCCAUCUGAUGAAACGUAUUGGUUUUGCAUUGAAGAGGAAGUUAAUGUGCUUAACUUCUGCAAGUUGGGGUGUGCGUCGUCUGUGUGCAACAACAUCAACGCUGGUAAGCACCUUUUGCUCAGACGGAGAAAACAAUAAUCAUUAAUUAGCGGCAGCUAGAAUCCUAUAAUCUAAUAUAUUUAUAUAUAUAUAUAAUUUUAUCAGCUCUGGGAAAUGAAGAGGCGAACGAUGCCGUUGAGAGUUGCGACCAAGCCUGCUCUAGCUUCUGCAACGUGCACGUUGGCGCUGCCACCGUGGUUGCUUAAGCAAAUGCAUCCAACUGGAUCGUCCUUGUGCUAAAUAAUUGGAUAUCGUAUCCACUUAAAGCUGCCUUGUGUAGUACGUUUUUGUUUGUGUCUCUCUUUAUAUUCCAAUAAGGUCGGUGAUCUUGAUGCCACACACUCAGACGUGUGUUCAUCUCCAGAUACUACUCCAUGCUACCUGCCCUUUGUGUUUUGUUCAAUAACUGGGUAUCAUAUCCCAGCCAGUGUGCCAUCUGUUUUGUGUUUAUUUCCUUCUAGUUUCAAAGGGGUUAUCAUGAUGUUAC
rnacentral:lncRNA from 1 species